UUAAAGGCGAGGGUUCAAAUCCGCCACCGAUAGAGGAGAACAAAGUUUGGGGCUGCCGGCGAGCGACGGAGAGAGUACGAGUGAGGCGGUGUGUAUGUUGGUGUGGUGUAUCCAACGAUGGAUAUGGGCGGAUGGUAGGUGGUGAAGAAGAAGCGAAGACAGUGGGUGUGUGGGUUUCGCCGGUGGAGACGGACAGAGGGAGAUGAUGUCGGAAAGGGAGUAUUGGUUGUCCUCCUUUGUGGAAAAUGUGAAUAGUGUUGGUUAAAGGAAGAAGAUGAGUGAGGGUGGAAGUGUGAAGGGUUUGUUCGCGAGGAAGAUGAGAAUAAGCUUUUUUUGUUUCUGUUUUGACAGAUGAGAGGGUGAGGUAUUGAAUGGAGAGAGAGUCUAGUAGCCAAGAGAGAGGGAUAAGGUGUCCUUUUAUUUAUUUCUUUUCCAUGUUACCGUUGAAAGCUUUUUUUUCUCUUCUUUUCCAUCUUACCGUUGGAAGCUAUGCAUUGGAGAGAGAGAAUUUUUUUACUUAUUUUCAAAUUUUCUUAAAUAAUAAUAUUAAUUAAAUCCUAAUUUUGAUUGGAUUAAUGGGAUAAAUAUGGAUGGCUAAUAAUGGCCACUGAUUAAUUUGAACCGGUGGCUUGGAUUGAAUCAGAGAAACACACCAAGAAACAUACACUAUUUAAAUAAAUCAAAAUGCAUAUAAUGCCUUUUUUAGAUGAUUUAAUCGAUUUAAAACAAUUUAAAUCAAUUGAAUCAAAUAAAAUUCACAACUUUUUAAACAAUCAUGAUAAAAUUAAAAUAAUAACAUGGAAAAUUCUAUUUAUUCAAUCUGACUAUUUUGACGAAAGAACAAAAUUAAAAUGACUAAAAAUGAAUAAAAGUUGGGCGAAAAUUUGCUCGAAAAAUUAAAUCGGAUGCAUGAAAAUGAUCAGUGUGAAAUAUAUUUAUUGAAAAAUUACAGCGUGUUUUUAAAUUCUGAAAUAAAUUUGCAUCGGUUAAAAGACUCAGGCGGGUCAAAAUGCAACCGAAACAGUCGCUGAAAAAUAUAACGGGCACACCAGUUUAAACUACAUGAACCGUAUGUUAAUAAUACUGGCGUCUGCAAUUUUAAAUUUGAGACUUUUUAUCUGCUGAUUUUGUCCGUACUUGAGAAAAGAUUCAACCGAUUUGUCUGUAUUUUCAAGAAUUUAUUCUGACUGAUAUUUUAGGUUUUAUUCAUGAUGAAAUGCAUGUCAUGCUGUGCGUAUCGUGCAAAUUAAAAAUGGAAUCAGAUUUACGAAAAUUUAAAUAUGGUCGGACAAAAUUGGGGUAUGACAAUGGUGGUGGAGAAUAUGUGUCGAAAUAUUUCGAUGCAUUACGUGUGAAAGAAGGGAUUGUGCAUGAGGUUGUGCCACCAUACACUCAACAGCAAAAUGGAGUCACAUAAAGGAAUAAUAGAACCAUUAUGAAUAUGGUUAGAAGUAUGUUGAAAGGCAAGUAUCUACCCAAAGAGUUAUGGGGAGAAGCUGUGUCGACAUCGACAUAUAUCCUGAACAGAUGUCCAACGAAAAAGCCUAGCUUGAGUCAUCUGUGGGUGUUUGGAUCUAUAGCACAUAGACAUGUGCCAGAUCAGUUAAGAAGAAAACUUGAUAACAAGUCGAGUCAGAUGAUCCUCAUAGGAUAUCAUUCAAUUGGAGGAUACAAGUUAUUCGACCCAAUGAAUAAGCAAGUAGUGAUCAGUAUGGACGUGAUCAUAAAUGAGCUUAAGGAGUGGGAUUGGAUUGAGAAUGUCAAGAGAGAUUCAGUGAGAAUCUUUUAUGAUGAACCAGCUAGUGAAGUCGAAAAAAAAGUUCGACAGGAAGAAGUCAGAGGUGAAGCAGGCCCAAGCAGAUAUCAAAGAACAAGACACAUGGCUACAAGGUUGCAAGAAUGUAUGAUUACAUCAGAUGAUAUGGUUAAUGAAGAAUGUGAGCUGGUAUAUUAUUCUUUCUACGCAGAUGUUGAACCCGUCAAUGCAGCUAAGGCAUUGAAAGAUUCGAAGUGGAUGAAAGCAAUGGACGAAGAGCUGAAGUCAAUCAAAGUCAAUAACACAUGGUCACUUAUCGAAUUGCCCCAAAACAAGAAGGCAAUCGAUGUGAAGUGGGUAUACAAGGUGAAGCGAAUCCCAAAGGAAAGGUGACUCGACACAAGGCGAGACUUGUGGCAAAAGGAUUUCUUCAGAAAGAAGGAAUCGACUUCGAUGAAGUUUUUGCACCUGUUGCUAGGAUCGAAACAAUCAGGUUGGUUGUUGGUCUAUCAAAGAUGAACAACUGGCAAAUGUGUCAGAUGGAUGUGAAAUGUGCAUUCCUUAAUGGCCCCUUAGAAGAAUAAGUUUAUCUUGCACAACCAACUGAGUUUGUGAAACAAGGCGAAGAAAGAAAGGUGUACAGGUUGCAUAAAGCCCUGUACGGACUUAAACAAGCUCCAAGAGUUUGGAACAAGAAGAUAUAUGGCUUUAUAAGGGAGAAUGAAUUUAUGAAGUGCACAAGUGAACAUGGUGUAUAUGUAAGAAGAAGCAAGAGUGAAUUUCUUAUACUAUGUCUCUAUGUCGAUGGCCUGUUGAUAACAGGUAGUUGCAAGAAGGAGAUCGAAGACUUUAAAAGUGAUCUCAACAAGGAAUUUGAAAUGUCAGAUCUGGGUGACAUUUCAUAUUUCCUUGGCAUUGAAUUCUACAAGAGUGGUAAAGGUUUGAUGAUGCAUCAAAGAAGGUAUGCAAACGAAAUACUCAAGAGAUUUGAUAUGCAAGAUUGCAACCCAACUUUGACUCCAGCUGAACCCAUAUUACAACUGUCGAAAUAUUCAGAUGAAGAUGAUGUCGACCCAACCCAAUAUAGAAGACUUAUUGGGUCACUUCGAUACCUUUGUCAUACAAGGCCUGACUUAGCAUACAAUGUAGGUAUGGUGAGUAGGUGUCGCAUUACGCGAAAAACCGGCGGGAAAACGAAACAACAGAGCCGCCACCGUGCGUUAUUUAUCCCAAAGGAGGGAAAGGAAACGCUCGAAGUAAACCUGGGAAAGACAUGGUCUCGCGACCGGAAUCCGGUCGCGAGACCAUGUCUUUCCCAGGUUUACUUCGAGCGUUUCCUUUCCCUCCUUUGGGAUAAAUAACGCACGGUGGCGGCUCUGUUGUUUCGUUUUCCCGCCGGUUUUUCGCGUAAUGCGACAGCUGGCGACUUUGCUGGGGAUAGAAUAGCCUUUAAACCUGCUACCCUACUGCUGGGGAAUAACAAUUCUAAUAGCUUUCAGACUUGCUUGGGGAACAACCAUUCUCAAGCCUGCUGGGGAGACAUCCUCAACCAUUAGGAACAAUUUACCCACCGACACCUCUACUAGGGAUAUGGCAACCUUCAGGCUCGUUGGGGAGACACCGAUCUCGAAUCUGCUGUGGAGAUAACACUCCCAAAUCCACUGGGGAGAUACGACUUAUUUGACAUGGAACGCCCAUCGAUUCGUCGAACACCGGCAUUCAUUAUCUAACCACAGUGUCAACUUUCCACUCUUGAGAGACUCCCAGACUCAUCCGGUCUUUUCGGAUCCAUCACCCAGUAUUCUCGUCUCUUCCUUGCUUUGAGACGAAUGAUCUCCUCAGAUCCGGGCAAACUCUCCAAUCUUCAUACUUUGAAGAGUCUUCUUGAUUACCCUCUAGGAUCGUCAUCGCAAUUCUUUCAUCUCUUCACUGUUCUUCUAUCCCUUGCCCCUGAUUGGGCUCUGCAAGGAUCUUCUGUCAAAGUGUUACCCAUCACAAACUGCAAGUGGGUGGAUAUAUCUAACAGCACCUGCACAAGAGAUCGUUAUAUAAAAGCAUGCCCCAGGCGUGCCAACAUUUCAACACCUAGGUCACUCAAACUUCCGAAUAAGAUUUCCAGAUUUCAAUCUUAUAAGAAUGCAUCGGAAGGGACCUCUAUGUUUCAAAAUGCAAAUAUUCUUAUAAAAAAUAAACGGAUGUUUUCGCAAUCAAAGCGGUAAUGAAGACAAAAACAAAAUUAUUUGACUGAACAUGCAUUUAUUGACUGAAAAAGGUGGCUCAAAACCGAGCAACACACAGGAAGCAAUCCCUGGAAAGAGGUGAUCGCGCACAAAGGAAAAAUCUAUCCAAUGGCAAUGUGAAACUGUGAUCCAUCUCAUCGGUUUCAACUCGGUUACACCCCAUAUGUCCUCAAGACUUUCCGCACUUUCUGUCUUCUGAACAAGACGCUUUACUCGAUCGAUCGUUAACCAAAAUAUCAACGAUUAUGCUGGACGCAGUUGUUCGUUUCAAUCCCUCUUUUGCCUGGACCGCCCUUUCGGGUUUUCAGUCCACCGGGAUACCCUUUUUUGCCCAAGCCGCCCUUGUGGAGUUUUCGACUUGCCGGGUGUACAGUUUUUCCUUUUAUCCCUAAUUUUUUCCCGAACCUUUUCCUUUUCUUUUGGUUCGCCUGGAUGCCCAUUUUUGCCUGGACUCUUUUAUUCUUUUCAUCCAGCGGGUCUCUUUUACGAAGUAUCUUUUAACUGCGUUCGCAUUCACAGGGGAUGGAAAAUCCUCACCAUCCAUGGUCGUCAACAACAAGGCUCCACCAGAGAACGCCUUCUUGACCACGAAUGAGAUCCAUAACUGUAUGUCCACUUGCCCCUACGAUCGUCUUGAGGAGGAAAGAUCCUUUUCAACAACACGUCUCCCACAUGAUACGCACGAAGUUGCACUUUUCAGCCACAAGCACGUUUCAUUCACUGGGUACAACUGCUCAUGACAAAUAACUGCCAGUCCCUUUUUUCAAUCGGGCUCCCUUCAUACCGAGUCCUUAUCCACUCGGCCUUUUCUAAUUUUACGCCCACCAGGACUCUCCAUGAUGGGAUCUAGACCUCAGCAGGUAAUACCGCUUCUAUCCCAUACACGAGCGAGAACGGCGUUGCCCCAGUAGACGUACGCACCGAAGAUCGAUACCCAGGAUACAAGCUUCAUACUCAGCCACCAUUGUUGGUGCAUUCAAAUGUUAUCCGGGCAACAAAAGAAAUGUGGGAUCUUUUCGGCGUAACCAAAACGGCACUAACUCAUCCACAUUAACCUCUCCCCAUCAGACAUCAGAAUCUGUUCGGAUUCAGGGUCAGACCCCUCCUCCGGGAUCGGUUCCUCACAAUCUUUCGAUUUGAGCACCUCGAGAUGUCCUCAUCAGGGAACUCAAACUUCCUUGGUUGAUAAUCCUCAAUGGGUUGCGUGGCGAGGUAAUCAGACAGUACACUCCCCUUGAUUGCCUUCUGAGAGGUGUAUUGAAUAUCGUAUUCAGUCAACAUCAUUUGCCCUCUCGCCACCCGUCCGGUCAAUGCUGACUUCUCAAACGCAUACUUGAUCGGAUCCAUCUUGGACAUCCACAAAGUGGUAUGAACCAGCAUAUACUACAACAUCAUUUGCCCUCUCGCCACCCGUCCGGUCAAUGCUGACUUCUCAAACGCAUACUUGAUCGGAUCCAUCUUGGACAUCCACAAAGUGGUAUGAACCAGCAUAUACUGUCUCAGUCGGCGAGCAACUUAUGCCAAAGUACAAUAAGUUUUCUCGAGCAGUGAAUGUAUUGUUUCACAGUCGGUAAACUCUUUGCUAAGGUAAAUUGCAUGCUCUUUUCGACCAGACUCGUCAUGCCGACCCACUACACACCUCAUAGACCCCUCGAGGGCUGUCAAGUACCAGAUUAAUAGUUGUUCCUUCCACAGGAGGCAUCAGAAUCAGAGGUUCCUGCAACUUAUUCUUUUAUCUUUCAAUGCCCCUUGGCAAUCAUUAUUCUACCUGACCUUUUGAUCUCUCUUUUUUCUUGAAUGGGUUCCCACGUGGCUAUUAGAUGAGAUAUGAACCAUGAAAUGCAAUUCAAUCUAUCUAAGAAACCACGAACCUUCUUUUGUUUUCGGUUCAGGCAUUUCUUGUAUUGCUUUUUUCUUUGUCUUUUUUUUAGCAGGACAACACUCCACCAGUGCACUGAUUCGGACUCAACCUCAGUCUGAGCUGUCUCAAACGGUCGAACGACUUGCCCCGGCCUACCGGAUGCCCCAUCUUCUGCUUGGGGCUUUGCUAUCAUGUCAUGAUCAUAGCAUUCGAUUCCACGAUGAAUCAUAUCAUGAAACAAAGUCACCAUAGACCUUUGAUACGUGGCACCGGCCUUCUUGAGACUGAAUGGCAUCACCUUAUAACAAGAAGGUGCUCUCUGAUGUGAUGAACAAUGUUUACUCCAUAUCAUCUGGCAAUAAAUCAAUUUGAUUUCGGCCAAAAAAACCAUCCAUGAAGGAAAACACCGAGAACUGAGCAGUAUUAUCAUCCAACAUAUCAAUGUGAUCAUACUUCAGACUGGCUCUGUUCUCAUCUCGGUAGUCCACACACAUUCUCACCUUCCCAUCCUUUUUCGGCACCGGCUUCUGCUUCACUGGAGGACAGUCUUCUCUUAAUGCUAGCUUGUGCCCCAUAACAUUGGUAUUCCACCCUGGCAUAUCCUGAUACAACCAGGCGAAGAUAUCAACAUGUUCUUUCAGCAGUACUACCAUUCUACUAUUGACACUUGCCUCUGAAGCGGCCCCAACUUUCACUUCCUUUCUGACCUCGGCGGUGCCUGGAAUAACAAUCUUGAAUCGCUCCUCAUCCUGUUAAAUCACCCUCUCCUCUUGUUUCAACAACCUGGCUAAUUUCAGCAGAUCACAAUCUUCUUCGCCCUAUUCUUUGGCAUGAUGGAUCGGAUUGUCGAAGUCAUACAGAGGUGUAACCGAAUUGUUAUCAAUGAGAUCAGGAGGAUAGUCUCUUUUGAGGUCGGAACAAGACGAAUCAAAAGGAAAGAAGAAUGAAAAUAAACAUUGCCAUUUUUAUUUUUAUAUUUUUAACUGCAAAAAUAAAUGAAAGACAGGGAACACCGCCUUUAAUCACAAAAACAUCCAUUUAUUAAUGAUGCAAAAUGUUGCACAAUGAAACACAUGAGAUGGCCCUUACAAUGGACCAUUACGUUUCAGGCAAAACGUAUGGCUUUCAUGCAAACAGAAUUGAAAAACAGAAAUACUACUCUUCAUGAUGAGUGACAGUGAUUAUCUUUGAGGCCUUCCAGUUCCCUGGUACGCACGAUUUUAUCCACAACUCAAGCUCGCGGUCACUGUCAAUCUCUUCACCCACUGUACAGGCGUGACCUGGAUCCAGCAUUCCGGCACUGACAAAUGUGAACGGUUGACAACGUCCUCUAUUUUGUCUAGACGACUCUUGAUCUGGCUGAUAGCCAACCCCGAACAUAUCCGCUUUCACCACAAUGUCUAUGAUCUUCCCCCAGCCUAGGGCUUCUCCGUUCUUCACCACUUCCAUGGCCCUGUUUUGUAAGAAGAAAUGGACAGCUUCUUCUCUUUAUGCAAGCACAGAUGGCCCUCUCCACCUUGACGGUUUCAACUGCCUGACUUGGUGUUUCAAAUUUUUCACCGUCCAUUUCUACUUCCAUCAUCCUCUGAAUCGUUUCCCCCAUCACUACACACCCGUUUGUGGCGACAGCCGCACAACAGUUAUCAACACUAGGGAAUGCUCCACUCUUCAUCAGAUGUUUUAGGACCACAGACUUUGGAAUUUUUAACUGAUCCCCAUUAGUCACCUCUAUUCCUCUCUUGUCCCUUGACAUCACUUUCACCUCUACAGGACCUGGCACGGGGUUGGCGUUAACAUUCAGUAUCUGUGCCAAACUGAUAGCCUUAGAAUCCACCAUAUCUUGGACGACAUGCUUAAAGGCUCUACAACCCUCAAUGUUAUGUCUUGGUGCCCCAGAAUGGAACUCGCACUUGGCAUUCUCAUCGUAGUUUGCAGGCCUCUGAUGCAGUUCUACAGGAACCAAUAUCCUUGGCCGAACUAACCCAAGAUCCCUCAAACUCUUGAGCAGAAGGGUAUAAGUCACGGGUGGCUUAUCAAACUGACGAUCCGUCGCCCCCUUCUUCACUUCGCCCUUAGCUUUCGGUGCCUUUUGUUGAGGUAGCGGUUGUUGCUGUUGUACAGGUGGAUUACCAAUAGGAGUGAUUAGAGUGGCAGCAUAAGGGUGGUAACGAUCCUUACCGCGUUCUUUCUUGGCCUGCACACCACCUGAUUCAACUUCCUUCUUGAGUUGACCACUGUCAGAGGACUUCUUUACUACGGACGACGGAGCCUUUCCCUGAACUUUCUCCUUUAUCAUCCAGCUUUCAAUCCUAUCCAACCUCUCAGUAAUUGCUUUCUGCCCCAAGGCGAGCCCUUGCACGACUUUGAACAACUCCCUCAUCAUCUCUUUCAAUUCGAGAAUGUCGGUGUUAGACGGAUCCAUCAGUCUGAGUUUGUUGAGUUUGGCAGGAUGUCUGAACGGAAGAGCUAUGCGCACUGGUUAGAUACUGACACCUACAAAACAACAAACAAGUUAAUAUGACUCACACGUGCAAUGUCUAUCCGUACUAGGAAUAUUCUGUCCUUCUGAUUCUGGCUUCCUCGAGACGGAUAAUAUUUUAACAAUAACAUUCUGUCAUCAGGAUGUCUCUCAACCAGAAUCUCAAUCAAAAAUGGACCCUGAGUACGGAUAGACAUGGGUUAAAUGCAGAUGGAUGCGAAAUGGGAAUGAUGCAAAUGCAUGCAGGCAGGUCACUGUGCCAUCUUCCAAGUCAACUGAGGAUCAACUGUACUGGACCGGUCUCUGAACUGAUUACAAUCAUCUGAGGGCCCGAGUAACCAUAAAUCCAACUUGGGGAGUUCCGAAAUAAAUAGAACCAGGGGAUAUACCACUAUUAUCACAAGAAAUCCACUGAACGAAUGACAACCAGAUCCUCUGAACAAUUAUCCUCAAAUUCAACCCGGGAAUCCGAAAUAAACGGAACCCGCUGAUAAAUAUCACGGACAGAAUUCCGGCAUCUCAGAGAUAGAUAUCCAUAAGUCCAUCUGAACCAUAAUCACCAUCAGUACCUGCAAAUGAUUCAAUCCCUCCCCACUCACGGGUGUCAUCUAGGCCAAGGUAAGGUCAAGAGAAACGCAGGAUAAAUAACCCUUUCAAAGAUAUCAUCAUGUACAAACCAGAUGUAUGCACCGAUAAUACCCCAUCAGAGUCUGAACUGAAGGAGAAUUGCGGUCCAAAACGCAGCGGAAAUUAAAAUUUCUCCUUUAGAGAUCCUUACGAAUGGUCAUGAUCAGUGAUAGAAUGUUUACCUCUUGUGAUGAUCGAAACCUUUGGUGCAGAUCUCUGUCGAUCAAAACCUUUGAUGCAGAUCCACGAAGCGAUCACGAACGUUGAACGAUGACAACGUCUCUACUCAGUCCACACGAACGGGUUCCUUCAAUCUUAGUGCUAGUUGGUACGAAUGAAGGCUUGAGCGAGAGAGAGAGAGAGAGUGAGAGAAACGAAAAUAAUGCAACCGCUAUUAAUGCUUCUGCACAAGGUUCUAUUUAUAGAACCACUUGUGUGGGUUCAAGCUAAAAAGCCCACUUAAGUGUAUUUUGGCCCAUAUCUUACAAUAUGCCCAAAAUCACUUAAGCCCAUGGUACCUUACUAUUUCGUAUAUCUACUCAAGUACACCGUACUUACGAUGUUCUAUAACUCAUUUAAGGGCACCGUACCUUACGGUAUUCCUUAGUACUCUAUCUCUCAUCAAUCCGUCCUUUGUGUGUGACCCUGUAGGUUUUCGUGACGUUGCAAUUAUAUUAAAUCACGCAUUAACAUAAUAAACAGUGAGCGGUAUCUAGCAACACAUCACUGCUACCCAAGACACGAAAAUGUCAUGUGAUCUGACAAAACCUUUUGUGAUAAUACUUAUGUGUAUAAUUACCUUUUGCCCUUAUGUCUAUAUUGAACACAAGGCAUAGACGUGUCAUCCUUGUCUAGUUCAAUAUUGGGCCCAUGACAUUUAUCCUGUUAUGCAGGAUGGGCAAAUUCCAUCUAGGGUCACUCAUGUCCCUCAGCAUGCUUCGUGGAGUACCCAUCAACUGUCUUUAUGGUUAUCCAGUUACGGACAACGUUGGAUCAGCAAUAAAGCACUUAACUCUACAUCUAGGAUCCAUAGUGGUUUCAGGUCGAAGAGUGGAAUACACUAUUAUCACCAUGAGAAUAACUUAUGACACUAUGCAUAACUUUCUAUAUAGUAUUCUCAUAGCGGGUCAAUCCGGUAUAAAUAUUACUCCUAAUAUUCAUACCUAUGUUUAAGACUUGAAACUCUUUAUCCAUGAUCCAUGAGAUGUGAUCAUCAGUCUACAAACAUAAUAGUCUUAAUGCUUUAAUGUUAUCCCACUUCACACUAAAGCUCGACUACGGAUACUUUAAGAAUAGUGUCCUUAUGUUUAAUGUGUUCUCAGAUUAAGUCACACUUAAUACAUUAACGGACUAUCUAUUCCAGGGACUUUAUUAAUCAACCAUAAUAAAGAAAAUGCCUUUAUUAUUAAUAAAUAAUUCGAUACAAGUACCAAAAAUGUUGGCCUCUAGGGCUUACACCAACAAUCUCCCACUAGCACUAGAGCCAAUCAGGCUACCCGUAUGCCCAUUGAUCUAGUAUGGCCAUCAUGCUUCUGCUGCGCAAGAGGCUUUGUCAGUGGGUCAGCUAUAUUGUCAAGUGUAGGUACUUUACAUAUUUUCACAUCUCCUCUAUCUAUUAUCUCUCGAAUGAGAUGAUAACGCCUGAGAUGUGUUUGGAUUGUUGGUGAGAUCUAGGCUCCUUGCUUGUGCGAUAGCACCAUUGUUAUCAUAAUAGAGACCAAUGGGAUCCACAAUGCUAGGACUAUGCCAAGUUCACUAAUGAACUUUUGAUCCAACAAACUCCCUUUUCUGCAUUUGAGGCAGCAAUAUACUCGGCCUCGAUUGUAGAAUCAGCAACUGUAUCUUUGCUUUGAACUUUUCAAGCUCACAGCGCCACAUUUAAGCAAAACACAUAAUCAUUGGAAUCAUUCAUAUUAAAGCGUCUCAGCACCUUGUCUAUGUACUCUGACUUAGGCAAGCAUUUCAUGAUCUAUCUCUAUAGAUUCUAAUUCCUAAUAUAUAGGCUGCUUCACCUAGGUCGUUCAUAGAAAAGCAUUUCCCAACCAAGACUUUAUUUGUUGCAGGGUAGUGACAUCGUUUCCAAUGAGUAAUAUUCAUCUACAUAAUAUCAGGAAAACGAUCAUGCUCCCACUAACUUCUUGUAGACACAAGGCUCAUCUUCGUUCUUGAUGAAUCCAUAUUGUUUUACUGUUUCACAAAACGAAGAUUCCAUGAGUAGGUCACAGGCUCAUCUUGAUCCAUGAGUAAUACAUCACCUUGAUCAGAUAUCCAUAUAUUCAGGUGGUACGUAUCCUGCGCUGACCGUGGUCUUGCUCUACUUGAGCAGGUUGCUCUUACAAACUACUUGUGUUUCCUGCUCAAUUCUUCCAUAGGUGUGUCGAUGUUUGUGAUUCUUGAAUUUCUUCAAGCUUACUUUCCUCCACUGGUUCCUUUGGAAAUAAAAUUAUUUCUAGGAAAACUCCAGUUCGAGUGACAAACACUUGCCCUCAGAAGGAUUGUAGAAGUAAUACCCUCUUGUUUCUUUAGGAAUACCCCACAAAAAGCAUUUUUCAGAUUUGGCUCAAGCUUAGUUGAAUUUGUCGUUUCACAUAAACCUCCACCCAAAUCUUUAUGUAAGACAUAUGUGUUUCUUACCACAUCCAUAUCUCAUUAUGGUGUCUUCUCACCUUUUGGAUGGACAUGUUAAAGUGUGUAAGUUGUUGUCAAUGUCCCCAAAAGGAGUUUGAAGAUCGGCGUGACUCAUCAUGGAUCAGCACCAUGUCUAACAGUUCGAUUUCUUCUCUCAGAUAACCAUUCCAUUGGGGGUUCCAGGAGGAGUAAGUUGGGAUAGGAUCCACACUCUUUCAGAUGGUCAUCAAACUCUAGCUUAAAUACUCACCACCUCGAUCUGAUCGAAGAGUUUAAUAUUCUUACCUAGUUGGUUUUAACUCGUCAAGUUUCACCUUUUAGUAUUAAUGUUAUUAAUAGGCAUUCGAGAUCAAGGACAUAAAGUCCAUUGCUCAUUUGUGCAGUAGCAUAGAAUAUAUCAUUCAAAUAAAUUGAGCACAAUUGUUUUAUUAUAAAUGAAAAACCAAACUUGUCCAGACAAGAAAUGGAAAUAAUAUUCUGCUAAUUGCAGGUACAUAAUAACAGUUCUCUAACUGAAUUAUAAAACCACUAGGUAAAGUCAAAUACAUAGAUCCUCUACGGCUAAAGUAGCAACCUUUGCUCCAUUGUCAACUCGUAAGUCACUUCACCUUUGCCAAAUCUCUACUCCCUUUCAGCCCCUGCACAUUGUACAAUGUGAGAACUGCAUCCAGUAUCUAAUACCCAUGAUGCAGAAGUAGAUAAAUUAUAACAAAAAAUACCUUAAGUUGAAGUCUCUACUCCAUUCUUCUUAUCUCCAGGUAUUUGGGCAGGUUCCUUUCCAGUGUCCUGUCUUACCGCAAUGUAAGCAGUGCCUUCUUUUGCUAUGCCUCCACUAGGCUUCAAAGCCAGUAGUGUGUCUGGGAUUGGCAACUUUCUUGCCCUUCCUUAUCACUCUGCUUAGUGGGCUUUUGUUCUGUCUCUUCCAUUUCUGAUCAUCAGAAUGGAUUCCUUUUGACUUCACGAUUCUGCUCGGCAGUCUUAACAUGGCGAGCAGUUCAGGAGAGAUUUAUCCAUAUCAAUACAUAUUGAAAUUUAGGACAAAUUGACUGAAAGCUAUCUGGCAACGAUUGCAAGAUCAAUCAGUUGUAAGUUCCUUUUCGAGGGGAAAACCAUAUCUCAAGGUUUUCCACAUACCCAUCAUCUGAGUACACUGGGGACCUACAGGGCUCCCUCAGCUAACUUGCUUUUGAAAAGGGCUUUUUGAAUUCAACCCUCUCAUGCCUUGCUUACUCUUGGAUAGAGCAUCUUCAGGUGUUCGAUCAUAUCGAACGCUGACAUGUUCUCCUGUUGCUUUUGUCAAUUUCUGAGUUCAUGGUUAGCCAGUCAUGAGACAAGCAGUUCAUUGCAUCAUCGACAUGCUUCUUAUAAGCAUCUCUUCUGCUUAGUGCAGAACUAGGAGUUCCUCUUCAGAACAGUGUCUCCAAGAUUACAGCUUUUAUCAUGUUUGAGGACAAACUCAGUUUCGUGCCAAUCCAGAAAAUUUGUCCCAGACAAUUUUUCCUUGCGAAGGAUUGAUCGCAAGAUGUUGUUAGAGUGGUUUGCUGUCACGGUUUACUACAAAGGAUUAAGAAAAUAUAAGUAUCAUUGACAUAUUUAAUUAGCCUUAAUCAAUAUUGCCUCCACUAUUUUACUCAAACAAUGACCCUCAUCAUUUGAUUCGGAAUCCGUUGGAAGAUUUUCUAGUGGGUCGAGAUCAUAUUUCACUUCGUUCUAAGUCGCGUAGGCGGAUACACAAAACUAGGUUAUUUAGGUAGAACUCCUUCCAAUUGUAUCUCAUACAACUCUCGAAAAUUUAGUUGGGUGAAUAACUCCUAUUCGAAUCCAUCAUAUGAUCUUCCCACUCUUUGCUUCUAAAAUAUAUGAUAUUAUUAUAAUUAAGUUUGACCAUUGUCUUAGCAGUUGGAUAUUACAAUUAUCCCACUGCACCUUACUAAUAUAGAACAUGCACCUCGCUUGGUGAAACCUACAUUAUCCAUACUAGUUCUUGAUGAGUGCUAAACUUGGAAAGCAAAACAUAUAAAUAUCAUCAUAAUUGUUUAGUUAAGUUUGACCAUUGUUUUAACAUUGGAUAUAUACAAUUAUCCAUCGCACCUUACUAAUAUAGAACAUGCACCUCGCUUUGGCGAAACCUACAUAUCCGAUAUAGUCUUGAUGAGUGCUUAAAACUUGGAAAGCAUAAACUAAUAUUUAGUUUGAGGAAUUGCAAUAUUGUUAUGAUCUCACCGCUUAUUUAUCAUAUAAAUCGUCUCUCACAUGCAUCAACUACAUUCACAUGCAUCAACAUAACAUACACAAUGAACAGUUAUGCCCUAGCGCAAUUGUUUCCCAAGCAUGAGAGAACCUAAGCUAACCUAAUAACGAUCUAGCUUCUCCAAGCAAGAUCUUCAAGGUUGUCCUCCUUAGAUUGAAUUCUUCUCUAAGCUUCUCCAAGCAGAUCUCAGGUUGUCCUCCUUUGAUCUUGAAUUCUUCUCUUUCUUCAUAACAUUGUUUCUUCUCUUUCCACAGUAUUACAUUCCAGAGAAACUCGUUUUACAUACGAGGGUUUGAGAUGAGAAAAGAAGUUACAUAAGAAUCAAAAGGAGAGGCACGACACGCAGGUCGUAUUUAAAAAACCCAAAACAAAAUAAAGGAUAACUAAGGCCAUAACUGAUCACCACAAGACAAUAAUAACAAACACAUUAUUAUUAUUAUUAAUUUUUAAUUUCUUUAAUUAAUUAAAACCAAAUCAAAUUUCGGCGACCGAUCACACUACGCAGAGUUAGCCGGGGGUUCCGCUGUCCAAAAUUUUAAUGAACAAUUCAUUUGAAAUGGACAUUGUUUUUGCAUCAACACAACUCUUGCGUAGGCACAAAAAUAGAAACCCCAAAAUUUUGACUCUGUGAGUGUGAUGACCGUCACAGGCCAUGUGAGUGUGACGACCAUCACACAAAACACGUUACGACCGUCACAGGGCCAAAAACAGAAACGCCUAGUUUUCUAGACUUGUGAAUGUGACGACCGUCACAAAGCACGUGACGACCGUCACGCCCAUCAUGUUACGACCGUCAUGGGUCUGUUACGAACGUCACGCGUCUUGUUACGACCGUUACGCAUCCAAAAUAACAGAACUUUGAAACAGUCUACCGACCUGUUCCAAAACCCUAAAUUCACAACUCCUUGACGGCACAACCCUUGCGCCGUCACCAACCCUAAUGCGCCAAUUUCAGACCGUCAAACACACCUCGAUUAUUGAUUCAGUAUGAUUGAUCAACAGGUCAUUGCUUCACCAUACUAAUGUCGGAUUCCGAAGCAAAUGACCAUUGAUCGCUCAAAGGAAAACAAUCAUUUAGUGUUCGAAUGAACGAAACAGAAACAGUAUAUCACAUAUACCGUACUUUGCAUUAGGAUUACUUAUAUCAUAUAUAAGUUGAUCGGUCUCAAUUGCGUAACCUAUGGACGAUCGAUGUAUCGCUGCUUCACCAUACUAAUGUCGGAUUCCGAAGCAUAGUCAACAUCAAUCAUCCAACUCGUACACUCAUGAUGCCAAAUUUAAUUACUCGUUUAAUUAAUUGAUUCAUUCUGUCUUUUAAUCAUAUUAAUACAGAAAAUAAACAGCUAUCCGAGUCAUGGUUUCGUAAGUGGCUCUGAUACCACUGAAGGAGAAUUGCGGUCCAAAACGCAGCGGAAAUUAAAAUUUCUCCUUUAGAGAUCCUUACGAAUGGUCAUGAUCAGUGAUAGAAUAUUUACCUCUUGUGAUGAUCGAAACCUUUGGUGCAGAUCUCUUGUGACGAUCAAAACCUUUGAUGCAGAUCCACGAAGCGAUCACGAACGUUGAACGAUGACAACGUCUCUACUCAGUCCACACGAACGGGUUCCUUCAAUCUCAGUGCUAGCUGGUACGAAUGAAGGCUUUGAGUGAGAGAGAGAGAGAGAGAAAAAGAGAGAGAGAGAGAGAGAGAGAGAGAGAGAGAGAGAGAAAACGAAAAUAAUGCAACCGCUAUUAAUGCUUCUGCACAAGGGUUCUAUUUAUAGAACCACUUGUGUGGGCUUCAAGCUAAAAGGCCCACUUAAGUGUAUUUUGGCCCAUAUCUUAUAAUAUGCCCAAAAUCACUUAAGCCCAUGGUACCUUACCAUAUUUCGUAUUCUACUCAAGUACACCGUACCUUACGAUGUUCUAUAAUUCACUUAAGGGCACCGUACCUUACGGUAUUCCUUAGUUACUCUAUCUCUCAUCAAUCCGUCCUUUGUGUGUGACCCUGUAGGUUUUCGUGACGUUGGCAAUUAUAUUAAAUCACGCAUUUAACAUAAUAAACAGUGAGCGGUAUCUAGCAACACAUCACUGCUACCCAAGACACGAAAAUGUCAUGUGAUCUGACAAAUCCUUCUGUGAUAAUACUUAUGUGUAUAAUUACCCUUUUGCCCUUAUGUCUAUAUUGAACACAAGGCAUAGACCGUGUCAUCCUUGUCCAGUUCAAUAUUGGGCCCAUAGACAUUUAUCCUGUUAUGCAGGAUGGGCAAAUUCCAUCUAGGUCACUCAUGUCCCUCAGCAUGCUUCGUGGAGUACCCAUCAACUGUCUUUAUGGUUAUCCAGUUACGGACAACGUUGGAUCAGCAAUAAAGCACUCGACUCUACAUCUAGGAUCCAUAGUGGUUUCAGGUCGAAGAGUGGAAUACACUAUUAUCACCAUGAGAAUAACUUAUGACACUUUGCAUAACUUUCUAUAUAGUAUUCUCAUAGCGGGUCAAUCCGGUAUAAAUAUUACUCCUAAUAUUCAUACCUAUGUUUAAGACUUGAUAACUCUUUAUCCAUGAUCCAUGAGAUGUGAUCAUCAGUCUACAAACAUAAUAGUCUUAAUGCUUUAAUGUUAUCCCACUUCACACUAAAGCUCGACUACGGAUACUUUAAGAAUAGUGUCCUUAUGUUUAAUGUGUUCUCAUGAUUAAGUCACACUUAAUACAUUAAACGGACUAUUUAUUCCAAGGACUUUAUUAAUCAACCAUAAUAAAGAAAAUGUCUUUUAUUAUUAAUAAAUAAUUCGAUACAAGUACCAAAAAUGUUGGCCUCUAGGGCUUACACCAACAUGAACUGCUCGUGAUAUCAUGUUCCGCUAAGUGGCGCUAUACCACCCGCUUCCCAUGGAUCACUCUAUUCCUAGGUAUCCUAGAGUUCAAUCAUAGCCUGGGUAUUGGGCCUUUUACCUCUUGUAACUCCCACUCCACAAAGAGACAGACACACAGCCAGCACAAUAAUAAUAUGAUGCAUGCAAACACAUAAUGCACAUAUAUACAAUCACAUCAUAAUCAUAAAUGCAAUAAAUAAAACAGUAAAAGCAACCAACAACUAUCCUAAAGAACGCUAGGAUUGACUCGCUUAGGGAAGAUGGACCAGCAAGAGGUCAACUUCUCGGAUAAUCCCCAGCAGAGUCGCCAGCUGUCGCAUUACACGAAAAACCGGCGGGAAAACGAAACAACAGAGCCGCCACCGUGCGUUAUUUAUCCCAAAGGAGGGAAAGGAAACGCUCGAAGUAAACCUGGGAAAGACAUGGUCUCGCGACCGGAGAGAGAUGGGAUUGGGAGUCGGUUAUGCGUAGGUUCAUGCAGAAGCCAAAGGUAUCACAUCUAGCAGCGGCGAAGAGGAUACUAAGGCAUCUGAAAGAAACUCUCGACUAUGGAAUUUUGUUUCCUGCAGCUGAUGAAGGAAAAAAAUGCAAAUUAGUGGGAUACACCGACUCAAGUUGGUGUAGUGAUGCUGAGGAUCGAAAAUCCACAGCUGGCUAUGUGUUUAUGCUAGGUGGUGCACCAGUUGCUUGAAGUUCGAGAAAGGAACCAGUAGUGGCAUUAUCGUCGUGCGAAGCAGAAUACAUAGUUGCUUCUCUUUGUGCAUGUCAAGAAACGUGGAUGGUGAAUCUGGUCGAAGAAAUAACAACGAAGAGUCAUGGAGCAAUUACCAUGAAGAUCGACAACAUGUCAGCUAUCAAUCUGGUGAAGAAUCCGAUAACACAUGGUUUAAGCAAGCACAUCGAGAUGAGGUUCCAUUAUCUUCGAGAGCAGGUAGCAGAUGAGAAAAUGAAUGUGGAACACUGCAGAAUUGAGAAUCAGAUUGCAGACAUCAUGACAAAGGGAGUGCAGGUCGAAGUGUUCAGAAUACUAAGAGCUAUGAUGAGUGUAGACAGCUUAAACACAAUGAAUUAGGUGGUGAUUGAAUUAUAAUUUUUUGUGUCGAUACAAUUUGCUCGAUAGAAUAAGGAAGUGUCAAACUACCUAGUAUGUUGAGUUAUGUUAGUGUGUCGAAGCAUGUUGCUUCACACAGGAUUUAGAUUUAGGCCUAUUUUAGUAGUGUUGGCUUUUAUAGUUUUGGACUUUGGCUUGAGGUCCAAGUUAACCUAAACCUAUAAAUAGAGGGAGUAACCCUUAUUUUUGUAAUGAAGUGAAUAGAGUAUUCAUAACACUUGUAAUUCAUAGUAUUUUGCAGUUGCAAAGUGAAUAAAAAGUUUUUCAUAGUUUGUGGGCAGAGAGAAACUCUGCAGAAUUCAAUUCUUCUUCUCCUUCAUCGUUCUUUACACUCUUUCUUUCUCCAUUGUUCUUUUCUUUUCAUUGUUAUUAUGUGGGUGAUAACAAUCUUGUUCAUCAAGAUUGGUUGAAAUUCUCCAUAGGUUUUGGUGGAUUUCCAACAGAAAUUGGUUUACCUAAGAUAAAAAUUUCAAAAGAAAAUAUAUAUGAUGCAUGUGAAAUGAGAAAGAAAACAAGAAUGUCUUUCAACCGAGGGACUCACCCUUAAUUGAGAGACUCACUCCUAAUUGAGGGAUUCAUCCUUAAUUGAGGGACUCACCCCUAAUUGAGGGACUCACCUCUAACUAGGAGACUCGUCCCUGACUAAGGGACUUGACCUCAACUAAGGGACUCACCCCUAACUACGAAACUCACUAAAGGAAAUAAAUGGCUUAAAACUAUGAGGAGAACAUGCUUAAUCACUUUUCCCCUUACAACUCAUAAUGUUUGAGGGACUGUGUAGUAAUAUAUUUGUAAAGGCCCAUAAUAGAGCGAUAUGGGGCCAAACCUCAUCAGGCACUGCCCUAGAAUCUACCGCCUAGACAUAACUCCCACUUAGUAGGUGGCCUCAACUAAUAAGAAACACGGGGGAUGACGUGUACAUAGUCUAUAACCACAUGUGCAAUAAGCUAUGCUCAUAAUUCCCUAGGAAGUAGGCAGUCAACAGUUUCCUUAUUCAAGGUGGAGCAGUUACUACUUCUUAGGAGCCCCAAAAUCUAUGCCCAUAAGCCUCUAUAAAUAUCUCACCAUAAGGGUUAAGGAGAUAUUCUGAAUUCACCAUGAAAUACCCUCGUGAGCUUGCUCUCACAUCACAUAAAACACCGCUAAACAUGACCUCUCACCACUGCAAAUUAUAAAGCCUCUGGACAUCCCUACCAGUAUAGGGGUGCAAUGCAUUUGUACUUUUUUUAGCAAGUACGAAGAAGUCAAAAUAAGUAAAUUGAGAAGUUAGAUCAUUUAUCUUGUUUUCUUUAUAAUUUUCCAUGAGACAUAUGUUGACUUCUUCCUCUUUUUCAAAUUCAUCGGAGGAGUCCGUAUCAUUAUCAUUCCAUGUUAUUUAUGUCUUCUUUGUUUCUUUUUGAGGACUUUAUGUCUUUUAGUUUGUUUCUUAUUUUGAGGGCAAUUUGGCUUUAUGUGACAUUUAUUUCUGCACUAGAAGCAUGUUAGCACAAAGGAUGAUCUUUCUUUAUUUUUAUGUUGGAAACUUUGAGGUUGAUUUUUGUGCCAUAUGAACUUUUUGAAGUUGUAAACUAAGAGUUCAUGUCUUCAUCACUUUAUGUUUCUUUGGUCUCUUCAACUUUGAGUGCACACUUUUUCUUUUUAUGAUCACCUUCUUCAUUUUCAAUAACCCUUUUUAGUUCAACCUCAUGUUCAUGCAAUUUGUCAAACAAAGCAGUCAAAUCCAUAUAAGACAAUUCUUUAGAUUCAAUUGUGAUUUAGGUAUCUAAGGACUUUAUUAAUUAAAUUCUCAUUUGAAAAGUCUUAUCCAUAGUUCAUAAAUGAUUAACAAUGUGAAUAAACCAUAUUUCUAUAUCUUGAAUGUUUUCUUCAAGUUUUAUUCUAAACAAUUCAUACUAAUGGUAUAAUGUGUUCAUCCUAACCCUUUUUUACCUCGGUGAUACCUUCAUAAGUAACUUAAAGGGUGUCCCACAUUUCUUUAAAUCCUGGACUUUUUUAUAUCGGAUGACCAAGUAACUUAAAGCACAAGAGGGGAUGAUUUGUGAUAAAACGAUUUUCAAAACUUUUAAGAAAACAAUUGAUUUUUAAGAAAAAGGAUGAAAAUAAGAUUAAACACGAAAGAGUAAAUAAUUAAAAAUUAAAGAAAUAAGGAAAAAGGAAAUAACACACUAGAAUUUAUACUUACCUUAAAUCACAUGAUGUACUUCGAUCCCAAAAGAUUUUCCUUGAGAGUUCCACUAACAACUUAAAUUUUUAUCACAUACCUUAUACACUAAUCGUUUAUCCGGGUUUAACUUGCAACCUUUAUAAUAUAUCAGACUCACAUCAGAAUAACAUUCUUGAUUUACAAUUAGAACUCAAUCAAAUUUAAACAACAUUUACACAAGCACACUUUUUGCUAAUGAUUUCACUCUCUCAUCACUAACGUAUGCUAAUGGUUUCACUCUCCUAGCACCAAAGUAAUUCUAAGUGUAUGAGAAAUUUUCAAGAAAAUAGUGAAUAAUAAAGAAUAGUAAUAUUUCAGAUUUCUUUUAUGCUUUAAAGGGAAAACAAGUUCUAGUAUUUUUUCAUCUAAGACAUGAAUUUUUUUUAGAUUGGAUCUGCUUCAUAAUCGAUUAGACUGUCACUCUAAUUGAUUGUGACCUAGAAAAUUAGGAAAGAAUUUGCGAGAUUCAAAAUUUAUUGGAUUAAAAGACUUCAUUAGAGGACGGGUUUAUUUCAUAAUCAAUUAAAUAAAUUUCAUAAUCAAUUAAAAAGUGAAAAAUUACUUUUUAAUUGAUUAAAUAAACUUCUUAAUCAAUUAGUCUUUCACUAAAACUAUUUUAAUUUUUUUUUUUGAAAAUAGAUGAAGUAUUUAGGAACUUCUAUUUGUUUUUAUAUUAAUAAUGUGUAAUUUGUUAUUAAGUAUUGGAUUUUCACUUAUGUUUAAAAAUAAUUAAAUAUUUAUACUUCAAAAACAUAUUUAAUAUUUAUAACAAAAAGGGUUUUAAUUAAAAUAUUUUUGUAUAAUUAUAAUUUUUUUAAAUAUAUCAUUAGAAGUUUGAGUUACUUUAAUAUUAUAUUUAAUAUUUUAAUUUUUUUAUUAGUUUAAUGAUGAGAUAACUGAAAUUUCUCUCAAAUAUGCAUCAUUCAGUCAAAUAUUAUAUAUCAAAUAAACUCCAUUAACAUAAAUAUCUACUUUUAAUAUAUAAAAGUUAAUUACCACCAUAAUUACUUAAUUACUCUAAUUACAAUACAUAAUACAACUACUUUCAUGUUCCUAUAAGUAAUUUCGUACUAAACUCUAUUUAUACUACUAAAAAAUAUUACCGUUAUUUUAUUGUUAUUGCAAUCUUAUCAUUCCAAAAUGAAAUCAAUAUUCUGAAAUCAAAUUAAUUAUUAUUGUAGUUUUUUUGCCAAAUAUUAUCGUUACUUGAUUUUCUUUAAAUGACAAAAUGAAUAUUUAAUUGUAUAAUUAUAUGUUAUUAAAUUAUAACUUUAAAAUUAAAAAUAACUAUUUAAUAUAGUUGAUUAAUAUUAAUUGAGUAAUUUAAUAUUAUUGUUAAUUUACCUACCAAUUAAUUAUUAUUAUUGUUAUUAUUAUUAUUGAUAUUUACCCGUCAUAUAUGAUAAGAAUAUUUUUAAAAUUUAAAUAGUAUAUUUAUUAUUUGAUUUGAUUUGAUUUAAUUGAGAUCCAAACUCUAUAAAUUAAAAUCGGUUACUUAUUAUGAACAAUAAUAUAGGGUCAUUCCAAUGUCAAUCUAUUAUUAAUUGAAUUUUACAUAGAUGUAAUUUUGCAAUAACACGCUGGCAUAUUGAAUCUUAUACCGCUGUUAUCUUUGCACUAACAUAUUUUAUCCUUUCAACAGAAUAAUUAUAGUAAAUACGUACAUUCUGUAUACCGAAUUAUAAUAAAAAUGUAUUAAAAUCAAAAGCAAUAAAACUGUUUACAGUAAAUAAAAAUAUAGAAUAACAUCUUAAAAUUCUACUCUAUUUGAUUAUUCAUUUACUUAUUAUUUGAUAUAUUUUUAUAUAAUAAAUAAAUUAAUAAUAAGUAAAUGAAUAAUCAAAUAGAGUAGAAUUUUAAGAUGUUAUUCUAUAUUUUUAUUUACUGUAAACAAUUUUAUUGCUUUUGAUUUUAGUACAUUACACUAAAAAAAACUCUUAUGCAAUAAAUUUGUGUACGUUGAUCCAACUAUAUAUAUAUAUAAGCAAAAAAUAUAUUAUAUUUUAAUUUUUUAAAAUAAAUUAUUGCAGUUGCGCGACCCGUGCAAACACACGGAUCCUUUGCUAGUUUACUAAUAUAACCUAUCCUUAACUAUUCAAUAUUAAUCAUCAAAUAUUAUUUAUUCAUUUUAUUGUUGAAAGAUAUAUCUCCAUCAUAUAUUUAACUUAUUUAUAUCCAUUAUCUUUAUAAAUUUCUCAUGAUUUAAUUAAUAAAAAAAAUCUAAUUCACAUACAAAUUUAGUAUAAAGAGUUUUCUAUUUUAUUAGUCAAUCAUAACUCUCACCUCAUUAAAAAUAUUUGAUUUUAAUCACAACCCUAGUAUUAAUGUAUCACAAUCAAGCUAAUUUAUCAAUUUAUAUAUUAUUAUUUAUUUGGCAAAAGUCAAAUAAAAAUAACUUUCAUGUAGAAAGAAAUCAAAUCAAAUUAAUUAUUUUGAUAGAAAAAUUUCAAUAAAAUAAGAUCUAAUCCAAUUUAAUCUCAACCAUAGUGAUUAAUAUAUAAUUAGUUAAUUAUAUAAGCUAACACAAUUGCAUAAUUUGUUUGUUGGUGUGUGUUUCAUUGUGUUCCUUGGGUGUUUUUGUUCUAUCCUCUUCUCUCAAAUCUAUAGAUCCUUCCAAUUGUUUGUUCCACGGUUGCAGUUUUGGGCCAAGAAGAACUAUCUUUGUCUUGUGCUGUGUUCUCUUGUGUUUUCGAGCACUCAGAAGAAAACCCUUUUCGCCAUGAGACCUCAGAAAACUUCGAUCCACGCCAUCUCCACAUGGGUCAGGCGACAACCACCAAAGGUCAAGGCUUUUCUUGCCGUCGUUUCCGGCAUGACCGCUCUUGUUAUCCUCCGAUUCAUCGUUCACGAUCACGAUAAUCUCUUUGUCGCUGCUGAGGCUGUUCACUCCCUCGGAAUCUCCGUUCUUAUCUAUAAACUCAUGAAAGAGAAGACCUGUGCCGGUUUGUAAUUCAAAUUAUUUCUUUUUCGAUUCAAUAUGUAUCUUGAAUCUUUUCAAUUUUUGCAUUCUUGGGUAGGUUAAAAAUUUCCCCUUUUUUGUUCUAUCAAAAGAUCAAUUUUUUGGGAUUUGUUUCGUUAGAUUUUUAUUCCAUUAUUAGAUUUCCUUAAAAGGAAAUUGAAUUUUGGCAUUACUUUUCUACGGUCUCAAUCAGAUUGGCAUUGUUUAGCUAGUUUCAAUUGUGUUUGUGUUUGGCUUAAUUGGAUCAAGAAGAGACAUUAAUUGAAUUUUUGAUUUUGUUGAUAAUGGUUUUGAAUGAUGUACACAGGAUUAUCACUCAAAUCCCAGGAAUUAACAGCUAUAUUUUUAGCUGUUAGGCUGUAUUGUAGUUUUGUCAUGGAAUAUGACAUACACACCGUACUUGAUUUGGCUACUUUCGUCACUACCGUGUGGGUUAUAUACAUGAUUCGUUUUAAGCUAAAGGCUAGUUACAUGGAAGAGAAGGAUAACUUUGCAAUAUAUUAUGUGGUAAGCUCCAAUUGUUUCAUCCUAAAUUUAAAAGCAUUUUUUUUUCAUUUUCUUUUAUGGUAAAUAUGGUUUGAGUAUUCAAUGCUGUAUCUUUAGAUGAUAGAGAUGUACUAUGAAGCAUCUCGCAUAUUUGAUGUGGCAUUGUGUGAAAUGGUUGUAUAUAUUGAGAUUUAUUGUAACUUUUGCAUUUGCCUUCCAUCGGCAUGAUCUUGAUAAUACUUUACUUUUGAAAAUGGAUGCAGGUGUUACCAUGUGCCGUGUUAGCCUUGGUUAUUCAUCCAUCAACUUCUCAUCAUAUAUUGAACAGGAUUUUCUGGGCAUUCUGUGUAUAUCUGGAAGCUGUUUCAGUUCUACCCCAACUUCGGGUCAUGCAGAACACCAAAGUAUAAUUUCUUAACUCUGGGAUAUAUGUCAAUCUUCUAAUGUAUGGGAUCUGAUUCUAUUACUUUCCUUCUGAAUUGUUUUAUUUUGUACUUUCAGAUCGUUGAGCCAUUCACCGCUCAUUAUGUAUUUGCACUGGGUGUAGCAAGAUUCUUGAGCUGUGCUCAUUGGGUUCUCCAGGUCUGUUCAUGAAGUUUCACAAUUUCAUUAGUCAGUCCUUUGAUUCACUUGCAAAUUUAUAACUGCACAAUUCUCUCCUGUUGAUCAAGGAGUGGAAUAUGAACAAAUUUUGAUAAGUUUUAGUUUCUAUUUUAUUUCCAACGGUAUAAGUAUGACUUACAACAUUUUUUAAGGGCAUCUUGUGCUGUAAAGCUCUUGCUAUUUUGUGAGGGUCAAACACCAUGUAGGCUACAACCUUGUAUUGGCAAAUGAUACUGAUUUGACGACCCAAGUCUGUAACCCCUGAGUUACAUGGCAGCAACUCCUAUUGCAAUGUUUGCGUGUUCACAAGUUUACAUCCGAUCAUAUUGAUGGUCACGUGGUUACAAGAAUGCUGCUGUUAUUGCCUUGUUUCUUAUGUUUUUGUACUUGGAUUUUUUAACCAUAUGUCUCCUACUAACUUACUAUUUCUCGUAACAGGUGUUAGAUACCCGUGGACAUUUGUUGGUUGCCUUAGGGUAUGGUUUAUGGCCGUCAAUGGUUCUUAUCUCAGAAAUUGUCCAGACAUUCAUCUUAGCCGAUUUCUGUUACUAUUAUGUCAAAAGGUUAGUAUAGUUCAUAAUAUAGUUUUUUUGCAAUCUUUUUGCGGCUUUUGCUGGUUACGACGUAAGAUAUGUCCAACACGACUCCACACGAUUGUCCUAAUGAUGUUUAUUAUAUUGCAGCGUUUUCGGAGGACAGCUUGUUCUGCGUCUUCCCUCUGGAGUGGUGUGAUUAAAGAUCUAUGCCCUCACAUUUUCUUUAACUUAAUCAGGCAUCAUGUUUGGUUACCCAUGUUAGACUUAGAGUACACUUUGUGUUGACAUACUUAUUCUGUUCCUGGUGGAAUGUGUAAAGUUGGGGAUGAAAGUAGACUAAAUAUAUUUUAUGUUAUGCGGUACGGUUAUUUAUUAUGGUUCAUAAUGUUUUAUACUUCAUAAAGUCUCUAUUUGAUUAGAGUUUUUGUUACAAUUACUCUUCUUUACUCUUCUUUAUUGAUAAACUUUGUAUCACAAUUGUAUAAAGAUUUUUAAGCACAAAGGUUCCUUGCUAGAAUCCCCUCAAAAGUGAUUCCAGGUCCAAAAGCAAGUAUCAAUCCCCAUUCAGGAUCUCCUCCUCCUUCCUUUCUAAUCUUGUUUCCUUCUUCUAUCAUGUACUCCAACACAUAAACAAUAGUAUUACUGCUAGCAUUUCCAUAAUCCCUAAGAGCUUUCCUACUGGCAUUCAGCUUCUUAGGCAACAGCUCAAGCCGUUUCUCCAUGCGAUUCAAUAUCGCAGGUCCUCCUGGAUGAACAGCCCAAAACAGCUUAUUGUACUCCUUAUUCUCCAACCCACCAACAUCCAUUAGGUUGUCACAGAAUCCCUCAACAUUGUCUUCAAUUAUCUGAGGAAGAUCUCUCGCCAGCGUGAAGCUUAUCCCUUCCUCUGUCAGUCUCCCAUCGAUUUUCUUCUCAGUGUCUGGUAUAAACUCCUGAGCUGAAGUAUGAAGCUCGAACAACGGCUUCUCAGUUUCCAAUAUCGGGUCUGAACCAAUUAUCAUAGCACCAGCACCAUCUCCAAAGAGCGCCACACCAACAAGAUCAUAGGGUCUAUCAGCACUCGGUGGCUUGAAUCCAAUAAUUGUCGUCUCAGAAGUAGCAAGCAAAAUUCUGCUACCAGGGUUGUUUUCAGCUAUGUCUUUUGCAACGCGCAAACCAGCCACACCUCCAGAGCAACCAGCGAAAUAAAGCAUAACUCGUUGAAUUUUAGGACUCAGUCCUAGUCCGCUCGAUAAAUAAAGAUCACCACCCGGUAACCUAGCUUCACUAGACGAAACAUAAACCACAUGUGUUAUGUCAGAUAAAGAUCCACCCCAAUUCUUUAUGCAAACUUGAGAAGCUUCAAUCGCCAUUUGUGUCACUGCCUUGUUACAUAUCUCUAGACGUUGUUUUACAGUAGCCGCGCCUUCAACAGCAAGUUCCGGAUACUUUUUUAGUAUCUCCUCCGACAUAACAACAUACCUCGUUUUCACUGUCGUCGUCUUGCCUGUUGUUCAUACCAAAUCAAGCCAAAUUUAAUCGUUAGUAACACAUAAACAUGGUUUUAGUAAAAAAAAAUACUUGAACUAUUGUGUGUAUUUCACUAUAUACUUACAAAGUCUAGCAAGUUUCUGCUUAAGUUCAGGAUUAUCACAAUUAGUGUCCCUGAAAUAUCCAUCAACUAAAUACUCUUGCAUCACAAGCUGGUGAGGGAAAGCCUUGCCAAGAGCCAAUAUAGUAGCCUUACCUGGUGUGACAUGCUUUGUGACAGUUCUAACUAUACCUUCAUCUCCCAUAUUUCUUCUUUUUGCUAGUUCAAAUAUGUGUUAUAUUUGUCUAUGCAGUGAAUGUUACUUAUCCACAAUAUUUUGGAUAGAGAAUGCACAAGUAUAUAUAGUAUUGUAUUUUGGCAUGUUGGGAGUAAUAAUAGUGUGACAAGUUUAGAAUAGGCAAUACAUGAAGUGUGCAAUUGGUAAAUGUGUGUUAGUUGGAAGGUAAGUCGUUCAUAGUAAUUGUGUCAUACAUUAGUUGCUAGAAUGAGGUUGGGACUUGAGAUUUGAUUCUUAUUUGUAUUGUAAGCAUGUGUUUUCUCCAAUUUUGACUCUCUCUUCACAUCACUAAAUCUGAGUUGAGUUUAGCUUAAUAUGAUCUCUAUGUUUAAGAAUCAUGGAAAGUUUAAAUAGAGUAUUUUAUACUUUUAGAUUGUAGGAUUUAAAGGUUUAAAAAUUAUAAAAUUUAAAUCAUUUUACACGUUUGGGUAUGAUUCAAAAGUGUAAAAAUUAUAAAAUUUAAAAUCAAUAUUUUAUACGUUCUAAUCGUAGAAUACGAACCGUAAAAUAUUAUAAAAGAUUUUAAGAGUAUUUUACACAUUUGAAUUAUAGGAUUUGAAAGUGUAAAAGAAAUUUGAAAAUUUUGAAGGACAAUUUAGUUACAGUGUAGAAUUCAAAAAAUUUAAAGAGUCCGUCCCGUCCCGUUCAAUUUUCUUUGUGUAUUUCCGCAAUAAUGAACAUUUACAUAGACUUUUCUGUUUUUAAGUUUAAAAUAUGCAGUGUUAGCUGACUUUACCAGUCUUGCCCUCACUUUUUUUUGCAGGAUGAGCUUAGGUCGUCCCGUCUUGUUUUUUUUUUCUUCAGGUUUUUACGGGACGAGGCGGGUAUGCCUGUUUGACAUCUCUACCUUUGAGUGGUAGUAUCUUUUUGUUGUUAAAAAAAUUGAAAAAUUGAAAAAGAAUGUUUUAAUCAUUUGAAUUGUGGAACCUAAAAAAAAUCUAUAAAAAAUGUGAGAUUCGAAAAGCCAUAAAUUAUUAGAGAGGUCUAUCGAUUUUUUUAUCAUGUUAGGCUGAUUUGAGGGUUGUAUGAGAAUCUGCUGGAGAUAUGAAUUCGACGGACAUAGAACAUGAAUUUUACAUGGUCAAUCUUAAUAGGGUUGAAUACAAAGAUAUAAUUAGAGAAAGUGGUACGUGCAUGGUAUUUAAUCACUAUUUUACAUUGCGCGAUUGGAUUAUUAUUUUUUACAAGAUAAAUUACAUCAUUAUAGUACAAUGACUUGAAUUUGUAUCCUUAAAAUAUUAUGAUAGGAGUGUAUUUAUUGCUUUUGCUACAACCAUUGAGAAAUCAGAUGAAGUUUAUUGAUGCACAAGAGAAAGAAGAUGGAGAUGAGGAAAGAGAAGAGAGAAACUGAAUCGUAACUAAUUUUUAAAGUGAAAUUGAUUGCAAUAAAAAUUCUAUUACACUUUUCUAACUUAGCAUAGGUUCAAUAUUUAUACAUACACUAAGAAUUACUUGUCAAACUAAAUGCAUCUCAAAUUAAACUUAAAUGAUAAUUAAAUGAAAUGCUAACUGAAUAUUGGAUUACACUCCAAUACCAUCACCAAUACCAUCAUGUUUACCGAUAAAUAUGAUAAACAAAACAAGUUUAUAUUAAUACUUAAGGAUCAAAUUUGAAAAUCUCCCGGAACAUAUUUGUGUGAAUUUAAACCUCUAAACAUCAUGUUAUGAUUGAAAUCGAAACAAAAUGUGAAGAUAAUAAUGUGAAAUUUCGACAAGACUUAGAAUGUAAAAGGUUUUGAAAUAAAGAUGAACUCAGAUCGAAAUGUAAACUGAAGAUAAAAUGACAGGAAUCGAAAUGUAACUGAAUGCAGAGAAAUACUUGAACGUAAAAGUGUUUGAAAUUUAUAAAUGUGGAACACAUACGUAUAUUUUUUUCACUUGUUUCUCAAUUACGCAGAUAGUUUGAGUAUGUAGAAAUGUGAGUACAAUUGCGGACCCCUUUAAUGUAAACAAACAUCACUUUAUAUACUAAUCUAGAAUAACUACCUACAAACAGUCUGCUAAAAAAAUCACGACACAUUUUACUUCCAUGCAGCCAUUAUCUUCGACGGGACUCCACGUGUCUUCGAGUAACCACAUGUUCUAAUCCAAUUCCCUCUCUUUCAAUCAGGCCAAAUAACCAACGAGAACAUUUGAAAUUUUCACUAAGUCCACAGACUCUACCAACGCUCCUCGACCUUCAGCUGCCUCGACCAAACUUGUCACAUACAUAACUUUCGACAUGUUCAAAUCACAUUAACUCAUAACUUUGAUUUAAUACAUCUGAUUUUUAGCUUUCAUCAUGACACACUUAUUCUUACUUGCCAUUUAUAUUUAGGUCGAAAAAUUCAAGGUAACAAAUUGCCCCCCCAAAAUGUCAUGUUUCAGUUUUAAUCAGAAAAAAGAAAUGUGGCAUUUUUUAUCGUAUUUUUCGACAUUGCUUCCACUUCUUCGUUGAUAUCAUUAUCAUCAUUACCCAUUUUUAUGGCGCAUUGUCAUUUUCAAUGAGAUCUGUUUCAAAAUCUCAUCAUCACUCAUAUUUUAUAGGAGGUCAUGGAUGUGCACGCCUGCUUUAACUGCCCUACUCACAUCAAUGCUCCACUUCGUAACAAACAAAAUCGUUUCAAGAUCUCCACACGGAUGCCAUGUGUCCGACCUUAGGCAUGCAACAGAAGGCUAUAAAUACCCAUCUUCAUAUUCUUUAUGUUCUUCUUCUUCUUCUUCUUCUUCAUUUCAACUAUUUUCAUAUCUUUCUUGCGCAUAGAGAAAAACCUUUUAUUUUCUUCAAAAACGCUUCCACUUUCAGCAAUGGCAUCCACCAAGGCAUCAUCUUCCAAGUUUGACACAUGAAAGAAUUCGAUGGCCUUCACAAUCCCACCAGAGGAGGAUGAACAAGGAAGAGAUUUCAUCCAUGAACCUCCAUUGUCAAAAGAAAAAAUCUCCAACUAGGUCAAACAAGUACUCGUCCUUUUUUCUCUGUCCAACAAGCUUUUUGCCUUAUUGGGGCCCUAUCCGAAUGCCAAGUCACAAGCUGGGAAAGUUAAGAACUUCUCCCCAUAUUUCCCGGUCACAAUGCCUUCGGCGUUUGAAGAACUUUCCCUCGAUAUAUCCUUUAUGGACAAACCUAUUUCGAUCUGCCCCACCUGCUCCCAAUAAGGAACACAUUUCCUGGCUCGAAUAAGUCCAACCCAGAGGAAAAAACAAUGGGAAGACAUAAGCAUUUAUGGCAUGCCCGAUAUAUCUAGAACUGACCCUAGGUAUAAUCCAUCCAUGUUAUUAGUGUCGAUCUUCUCGUGGGAAGGUUCGACUAACACUUUCCAUUUUCCUUGUGGCAUGUUAACGCCAACCUUGUUUGAUGUAGUAACCAUCACAGGAUUAAAACCCUUAGGCGACACCUUUAUUACAACCUUAUAAACCACUAAAGAAUUCAUCAUCGAACGAUUCCAUUUCAAAAACUUCAUCCUCGACAAUCAUGACAAAGAAAACGCUGAAGUCUCCGACCAGGAGCACAUAACCUUCUUGACACUUUGGCUUUCUUAUUAUGUUUUCUGCUCUAACUCCUUACAAGUGGCUAAGAAAUUCGUACCUUCAUUCAACUCCACGAAGGUCGACACAUCCCAUUAAGCAAACUUCUCUUGGCCAAUAUAUACCAAUCACUUGGAGAAGCUUCCUAUAAAUUAAAACAUUGUGUCUUUUGCAACUUUGGCUAAACUCCACAUUUGAACCAAAACUCCAUAUCACUACCUCUCCAGCCUUGAUAGCACAUAAUGACUGCAGAGCCAUCAAAGGCAUCAAGCUUUCUUUGACUACCCCUCAAGAAGUUCCCUCACAAAAUAUACUUAUGAAAUACAUCAAUCUCUUCCUUGAAUCAACCAUUUUUGCUUCGACAAUGGCCCCUUUUGUUGAUCGAUGUGUGGGUCGUCUUGGUUCAGGAACAAGUUUCCAGGGGUUUCUCCUUCAGCAACUACCAUGUCGAACUCCAUUUGGGGCAGCCUUUGUGACUCCCACACUCAUAUCCACAAGAAUCAAAACUGGGACUCCUAACUAUGCUUUCAUUGGCUACCAGUCCAACUUAGUGGCCAGGAAAUUUGACUUUAGCCAAAUGCUUCCAUGCUCACUUUACAUCCAUGAAGAUGAUAUUUGCUGGUCGAAAAAGAGAUUCACCAUUGCAGAUUACAAAUUUUGCACUUCAUUUUCCUAUAACCAAGUCCAUGAACUUCCUACUUUCCAAUUUCAACAAUCAUUUUUCAUGACCAUCGAAUACCAUAACUGGUGGACACAGUACUUCAAUAGCCACUUUACAGAAGACAACUUUCAAAAGAGAUUAUUUGCUGCCUUCUCCGACGUAUCAGAAAAUCCAGAAUCACAAGGUAUAUACUUACUAUUGUCUUCGAAUUAUUCAUACCUUUCAUUUUCUUACGUUUCGAUUGCAAGUGGACCUGAAGCACAAACUGAGCCUAAUGGUGAAGGAACUUCCAACGCAAAAGAAACAGAGAAAAUAGAAGAGCCCAAGAAAAAGGUACCUCUUUCUUCUCUGACCUUUCCUCAUUGUUUGAGAUAAUUCCAACAGUUCAUCUUUCAGAAUCGAAAGCAUGAUCCUGACUCCCCCGUUACCAAAUCCAAGAAAAAUAAGAAGUCUACGACCACUUUGACUCAGGUACAUCAUUGAUUUUGACCUUCUUUUGUAAUCUUUUUAAGAACCAUCUGUCUCAUUUGACUUAACUUUUAGGAUACUCCAAAGCCAACAAAAACUCAGGCUGAAAAAGAAAGCUCAGAGGGACUGAGGAAACUCUUAUCUUCUCAAGGCCAAAGCCUAAAUCCUCUCCCAGACCAAACAUAAACUAGAAAAAAUAAAAUAACCUCUAAGAAAUCAAAACCCGAGAAAUAUACCACAUCCUCAAGUAUCGAUCCUUCCAAUAAGAACAAAGAAGAAGUAGAGGCAAAAAAAGAUAAGAAAAAAAAGAAUCAAAAGAAAGCUCAAGAUCUUCCAUCAACUAAAAAUAAAAAAUUAAAUGCACCUCAAAGCGAACCGAUCAAAGAACCAGACAAAGAUGACUCUGAGGUACUUCUUGAUUCACCCCCUACUCUAUUUUUUGUACCUUACUUUGGGCUUUAACUCAUUAUUCUUUCCUCUUUUCAGGGAACAACAUAAAUGAACCAGAAUGAGGCAGAAAAUCCACCAAGUAUCCCUUGUUUAAUUCCUUAUGAAACAUUAUCUCACAUCCAUUGGUCGGAUUUCCUUGAUUCUAACAUUUCAUCUGUUCAUCUAGACAACCAACCCAUUAACAAAACAAUAGACGCUUCUCCAUAAUCUGAAGUGGAAAUCAUCGUCAACCAGCAUUCUCCACAACGCAACAAAGAAUUGGACGACACUAAUGCAUCCUUUCAAGAUAAAUUGGCUUAAGAUGUCCCACAAUCUGAUUGCCUAGCCAAAGCUAAUGAAGAGCAGGCUAUGCUCAACGUCAAAACUACCCUAGUCACAAAAAAUGACCAACCUACCAAUAAAGAACCAGAGCAAGCUCAAGUCAUCGUCUAUGAUUUAGUGUCAAACACUUCUUUGAGCUAAGAGGAAAUUCUUUCUCUCAAAGAAAAAAAAUCCUACUAAAUCUCUCAAAAGACUCCCAAAGCUUCGCAAGUUGUCGACAAAUCCAGGUCAAGUCACUCUUCUGACGCCUCGUUGGCCGAUACUGGCAAUGACUCAGUCAACUUCAUGAUUCAAUAAUUGAAAGCUAACAUCUUCGAGGUCGUCCUUCUCAACACCAUCGAAGGAGAUGCUCGACUUGGGGCUAAUAUUCAACGCUUGCUAGCUGAACUCAACAAACAAGAGAUGUAUGAUACCUUGGUUCAAUAUCUCUUUGAAUUCGAGGCUUACUUUGACGAAGUCUCCAAAUACAUUGAUCUCAAACGAACAAACAGCUCUCAGCUUCAAAAGGUGAAAGACGCCAUGACAGUGGCCUGGGACACAAGCAGUGCAUAUGAAAAAGAGGUCGACAAGCUCAAACCAAGAUUCAAGAAUACAAUGACAAGAAUACCUCACUAAACAACUAAAUUGCACAACGUCAAAUCCAAGAUUCUCGAGCUAAACAAAGAGAUUGAUAACCUGGAAAAAGAGAAAGCUGAGUUGGCAUGGAAAAAAUCACUCCCCACCAGAGAGAUGAUCGAUGAAGAAGACACUAGAGGCGUCGAGCAUGAUGAAACCGCUCUUAACUUAGGGCUUGAAAUUAACUCCCUAGAAAAAAAAUCCUUGAUCGACUGGCUUCCAUACUUAACUUCUCCAAAACCAAACUUGAGGAAUUCAAAUCAAAAUUUUCAAUUUAAAUCACAUUUCUCUUAUUUUCCUUGCUUUUGACAUUUUUGUAAUGACAAUGCCAUGUUGGCACCCUUUAAUACCAUUUUGGCGCUUUUGUUUUCCUACUGCAUGUUUUUCUUUAGUGAUUUGAAUUUCUUAUAACAUAGGCUUAUACCUCUUAAGGUAUUUAGCAUUUACUCUUAAAAUUGGUUUAUCAAGUGCUAAUUCUUUGAUUCCAUAAGAAGUAUUCGAAAAUGCUUGAAUAACAAAAAAUAUGUCUUCCCAAUUAGGAGACCACUUGCCGAUAGUUCUAUCUCUUCGAUCCAUAGGAAAUAUAACCUUUCAAACGUAAUGUCCAAUCGAAAACACUUUCAACUUUAAUUUCUUAUUAUAAGCAUUAGCUUCUCACUCCUUUUGUCUUAUUCAGACAUCUAAGGUUACCAACAUUUCUUAGCCUAAAUCGACCAUUUCAUCCAACAUCAUGCUCCAAUAAUGAUUAGAUGGAAUUUCUCCCUGUCUCUAAAUUCGAAUUGGUUGCAAACAGAUUUUGACCGGCAAGACAACUUCAUGUCCAUAAUUCAAUCGAAAUGGAGUCGUAUUUGUUUCCUCUUUAGGAGAGAUUCGACAUGCCAAUAAGACUUGAUCUAACAUUUUAUGCCAAUUCUUUGGUUUCUUCCCAACAUGAUUCUUGAUCAAACUAAUGUCAACCCUAUUAAAUGCUUCGACCUGGCCAUUUUCUUGAGCAUAAUAAGGUGAUAAGGUCAAUAACUUAAUCCCAAUUUCAGAGGCAAAUUCCUGCAUCUUCUAACCAGUGAACACCAACCCUUGAUCUGUCGUAAUGGUCUCAGGAAUUCCAAACCUAUAAACAAUAUUUCUUUGGAUAAAUUCUAUUAUAACAUCUUGGUCAACAUUGACUAAAGGAACUGCUUUGAUCCACUUUGUUAAAUAAUCAAUGCCUACUAAAAUAUAUUUUUGAACUUUAGAGGAUGCUGGUCGAAUUUCACCAAUCAAAUCCAAAGCCCAUCCUCUGAAUGACCAUGGCUUUACAACCGCGUGCAGUUCACUUGCAGGAACAUGUUGAAUUCCUGAAUGGACCUGACACUAUUGACAACCAUUAGCAAAGUCGAUACAAUAUUUAAGCAUCAUAGGCCAAUAAACACCUUGGCGACAUAAGAACCAUCUCAUCUUAUACCCUACCUGAUGAACACCACAUGUCCCACUAUGGAGAUUCGACACAGCCAAAUAUGACUCACUUUCAAUAAGGCAUUUAAGAAAAAAAACCUCAAGCGUAUUCUUAAGUAAUUUGUUUCCUAUGACCAUGUAGCUCGGAGAUUUAUAUUUAACUUUUUGAUCAGUCGAACCAACUAGAUUUUCUAAGUAACUGACUAUUGGCUUAUCUAAUCAGUUUCAACCAAAUUUUCAAUAGCCAGCAUCUUAAAGUUCUCUGAAUCUACUAACCCUAACUUAGUCAUUGCUAGAUCCUAUGGGGAUAUUCUUGUCGACUUCCCUCUCCCUCGGACUUUAAUAAAGUCCAUUAGUUUCUCUUUAGACACUUUAUAACCUGAGGCAACGUGCGCCAAUUCAUUUGCCUCUUGAUUUUCAAGUCUAAGGACAUGUUGUACAUCCACAAAAUUGAAAUACCUGAUGAGUCAAUUAACUAUAACAAAAUACAUGAUUAAGUUUUCCUUAAUACAUCUAUAUUCCUUCAUUAUUUGCUUCACUACCAAUUCAGAGUCUCUUAUUAUUUCGACCUGCUUUGCUCCAAAAUCUAACAAGAUCUUAAGCCCGACUAUCAAAGCCUCAUACUCAGCUUCGUUAUUUGAGCAAUGACCCUCAAUUUUAUAUUUGAACUUGGUCGGAAUCUUGUUUGGAGAAACAAUCAAAAUCCCAACACAAGUCUCAUUCUUAUGACUGAAACCAUCUAAGUAUAACUUCCAAGGUUCCGUUUCCAAAUGGUCCAAAGGCGUCUCGACUACCACAUGAUCCACGAUAAAUUCAGUGACCACCUGUCCCUUCAUGGCCUUUAAAGGCACAUAUGUAAGGGAGUAUUUUGUUAGGGCAAGAGCUCAUUUCCCAAUUCGACGUAAGAUUAGUUUAGAUAACAUAUGCUUGAUAAUAUCGAAAUGAGAAGAUACAUAAACAUCAUCUGACUUUAUGUAAUGCUUCAAUUUCAUACAAGAAAAGUACAAACAAAGGCACAUAUUUUCAAUAAGACUAUACGUAGUUUCUGCGUCAUUCAAGACUCGACUGAGGUAGUAUAUGGCCCUUUCGACGCCAUUAUCAUCCUCAUGUGCUAACAUACUUCCUAUAGUCAAGUCUGAGGCAUAAAUGUACAACCUCAUGCAUCUAUUUCUAACUAGAGGGGACAAAAUUGAAGGAUUUACUAAGUACUCCUUUAUUUCGUCGAAUGCCUUUUUACGUAGAGAAUUGGAGGAGGAAGUGUAUAUGGAUCAACCUCUAGGUUUUACUAUUCCUGGAAAUUCUAGACUUGUCUGUCAGCUUUGUCAUUCUCUUUAUGGGAUGAAACAAUCCCCACGUGCUUGGUUUGGUCACUUCAGCUCUGCCUUGAUACAUUUUGGUAUGGCUAGAUGUGAAGAAAUCACUCUGUUUUCUUCCUUCAUUCCUCCACCAGUCAGUGCAUAUUUCUUGUGGUCUAUGUUGAUUACAUUGUUAUCACUAAAGACGAUACAAAAGGUAUCCAACAACUCAAAACUCAUCUUUUCAAAAAAUUUGAGACAAAAGAUUUGUGUCUACUCAGAUACUUCUUAGGUAUUAAAGUUGCUUAAUCCUCACCGGAAAUUGCAAUUAACCAACAUAAGUAUGCAUUAGACAUCCUAAAUGAAACCAAUAUGCUUGAUUGUCGUCCCUUUGAUACUUCUAUGGAUCCCAACGUCAAGCUUCUUCCAGGUCAGAGGGGCUACUGAAAGACCCAAGAAGAUAUCAACGUCUAAUGGAUAGACUCAAUUAUCUUACCGUCACCAUACCGCAUAUUACAUUUUCAAUGAGCAUUGUGAGCCAAUUUCUGAACGCCCCUUGCGAUAGUCAUUGGAAUGUAGUUAUUCAGAUUCUCAUAUAUAUAUAUAUAUAUAUAUAUAAAGAAUGCACCAAAAAGAGGGUUAUUAUAUGAAGAUAAUGGUGAUGUUAAAAUCACUUGUUAUUCAGAUGCAGACUGAGCCGAAUUAACGUCAGAUAGAAAACCCACUUAUGGAUAUUAUGUUUUUAUUAGAGGAAAUUUGAUCUCAUGAAGGAGUAAGAAACAAAACACAGUUGCACUAUCUAGUGUUGAAGCUGAAUACCGUGCUAUGUCAUUAGCCUCAAAGGAACUUGCAUGACUUAAUAAUUUGCUCUCAAAACUUAGGUUGAGAUAUCUUCAGGCCACAAAACUCAUAUGCGACAAUCAAACGAUACUCCACAUUGCAUCCAAUCCAGAUUUUCAUGAACAGACCAAACACAUAGAAAUAGACUGUCACUAUGUAAGAGACACGAAACUGUUAGGAGAAAUAAUCACAGAGUUCGUCAAACCUGAAGAUCAAUUGGCUGAUAUGUUUACGAAGUCCCUAAAGAAUUCUCGAGUGGAUUAUAUUUGUAGCAAGUUCAGAUCAUACAAUAUAUACGAUUCGACUUAAGGGAGAGUGUUAAGAGUAUGUUAGAAAUCAAUUAAUAAUAAUUGAUAUUCAAUUAGUAAUAAUUGAUAUUCAAUUAGUCAUAAAUGUAAUUAGAUUAUAUUCGACACACAAAAACACAAUCACAAUACUCUCAAAGACCUCCACACUCAUUUUUUCCCAUCAAAAUACCCUAUUUAAUAGAAGACAUAAUCAUCCCAACUCUAAAAAAAUUAAAAUGGAGAGUGGGUGUAUUAUGACUAAAUUAUUUUUUACAUGUUUAUGGUUUUAUACAAGAAUCUUUAUAGCUCAAAGAUAUUGUCGAUCAAAAUCUUAUCACUACUCAUAUUUAUUUUCUCAUUUUCAUGAAUGAAUCGAGUAUGUUAGAAUAAUAGUUUCGACGGAGGAAUUGAAUGAUGCUUUAUUUUUUUUAAUUGAUCACUUCAAAGCUCUAGUAGUGUAUGUAAUGAAAUAAAACAUUUUUAAUAAAAUAACGAGUAAAAUAUAUAUUUUAUUCCACUUUGCUCUGUUCAACUCUAUUAUAUUCUCUUUCACUCCGCUCCAUUAUGUUGUAUCAAUCAAAGAUAACUAUAAUUAAUUAAAUUACUCCCUCUUUAAGAUGCUUAGAUCAAAUAAAGUCAGGUAAUCAAGUUUCACCUCAUUUUCACCGGUAAAAUUAAAUGCAAGUCAUGCAAAUUCCGAGUUACUAAUUUUUAGUUGAAUACUUAUAAGACAAUAAUUUUAUGAUCCUAACCGACCAUAUCUCAAGUUCUUACCAUGAAAAACCUCUCAAUUUUAUCGGAGAGUAUCUUAUUCCAUUUCUUCAUGAUGAUUAGUAAACCAUAUCAAAGGUAUUUAAAAUGAUUGUUAAAAUUUUAUGUGAUAAUUCUUCCACUAUUAAAUUUGGAAAGAUUAUAUUUUCUAUGAGAGAAGUAAACACAUUGACGUACAUUUUUAUUUUUUAAGCAAUCUUACAAAUGAUGGAUCUAUUAAUAUGAAAUACAUUGGUAGCAAUGAACAAAUGAGCAAAUAACUGACAUUAUAACUAAUUUUAAAAAAAUUGAUCUCUUCGAAAAACUCCAAAGAAAUAAUGGGCGUUAGAAGUAGUCUUGGCAAAAACUAACAUGGUUAGUUUAUGAGAGAGUUUUGUUAGUUAGUAUAGAACAUAGAGUUGGUUUAAUAUUUGACUUAUUCUUGUUUGUUUUAUUUUAGAUUUAUUGUUUCUUUGUAAGACUUCAAAAUAACAAAUAUAGUUGCAUUUUGUGCAAUUUAUGUUAUGUUAGUUAUUUUAACAAUUAGGCACCACUCUUAAACUUUCACUUUUUUUCAUGACUUUAUGCUUAAACAAUCACUGCUGUUUUGAUAAAUUAUAAUAAAAACUAAGGGAGAAUAUUUAUAUAAAAAACUGUUGAUUAUAAAUUGUGAGAAACAUAAAAUAGAAAUUUCGAGAAAAGUGUAAAAUAGGACUGGCCAAAAGUGGUGUAAGCAAAGUGGUGAAGAAGUGUGAAAAUGUUUUAUCAUGUAACUGAUGCUGGGCCAAGCGCAAAACAGGGCCCAUUCAAAUAACAGAUUUCAUUUCCGUUUCAAUCCACGUCGAUAACUAACACCGGAACUGAAUUUCCCGUCGACGAUAACAUGCUGAGAAAUCUCCGAUCCCGGCGACGUCCCCGUUACGGCGGCCUCCUAUGCGCCGUUGUUUUAGCACUUCUUCUCUUAAUAUCACUCUCCUUCCUCCGCAGCCACACUCACCGUCGCACCCCAACUCACGAGGUUAACUACGACUCCCUCCUCUCCGAUUCGUCGAACGAAGACACAACAGGCGGAGAGGACACAAUCGACGCACUGGACAUUGUCGAAGAACAGGCUCCGGAAUUCCCAACAGACGCAGAAGAAGACGACGAACCAAUCGAAGAGAGCAACAAAGCUUCAGGCUAUUUCUUCUACCACGUAGAAGGUGUAAUAAGAAGAUCAUUCACCAAGCGGUCGACGAUGACAAUGACGGAGGAAUCAAACGAAGGAUUCAGGAUUUUUGAAACGACGGCGGAUGAUCGCGGGAAGACAGCGUUUGGUUCUGAUGACGUGGCGGUGGACGAGUACGUGAGGACGAAGAUGAUGGAAGUGAAGGGAAUCGAGGACGCGCUUAUGUUGAAAGUUGGUAAGAAACCUUUGAGAGAAGGAUGGAGUAAUUGGUUUGAUAAGAAAAGUGAUUAUUUGAAGAAGGAUAAGAUGUUGAAGUCUAAUUUGGAAGCGUUGAAUCCUUUGCAUAAUCCUAUUUUACAAGAUCCUGAUAGUUAUGGUGUCACUGGCCUCACCAAGGUUGAUAAACUCUUGCAAAAGUCACUGGUAAAUGAGUUAAAGAAAAUUCCAUUUCCUCCUAGGAAAAUUACUAGGGAACCCAAAUUAGCAGCAUAACUUAGUCAUAACUUUUUCAAUAUUAUUUCAUUUUGUUUUUUUUUUUCAUUGCUAGGUAUUUUUUGAUUCAUUGUGGUAUGAUUGUUGUAGAAUGUUGAUAUUGAUUGAUUAUAAGAGAAGUUAUUGAGAAAUAUCUUGAGAUUAACGAUUUGGUUAGAAACAUGGUUCUGGACAAAACAUUAUGACAGAAGUUGAUCCAUAUAGUUGACCCCACUUAGUGAGAUAAGACUUGAUUGUUGUUGUUGUAGUAUGCUUACUAAUAGCAUGAACUUGUCUCGCCGCCCCUCAAAACCAAGUGGGACUCGAUGGAAUUCAGAAGUGCACUGCAACCUGCAUGUGUACUGUGUGCAUUUUACCGAAGGUUAUCGAUGUAAGUUUUGUGUUAGAUAGUUUGGUAGUCUGCAAUGCUUUCAAAUGUGAAAGUUAGUUAUUUAUCUAUUUAUAAUGAAAAAUCUGAGUUGUUUUUACUGAUCAUCAUAUAGUUGACAGGAUUUUCUCAUCAUUCUGUCUAUAUCUGGAAGCUGUUUCUGUACUACCCUAACUGCUGGCCAUGCAGAACACUCAAGUAUAAUUUUCUCAUCAUAUGGGAUCUGAUUAUGUUGCUUUUCAUCCUCAAUUGUUUCAUUUUGUACAUUCAGAUUAUUGAGUCAUUCACUGCUCAUUAUGUAACCGCACCUAGCAAGAUUUACGAGCUGUGCUCAUUGGGUACUUGAGAUCUGCAUCUGUUCAUGACAUUUUGUAUUUUAUGUAGUCUGUCUGUUUGUUCUUUGAUUUGUGGAUAUGCUAGGGGUCGGCAUACCUUAGACACAUUUUUCUGAAUUGUCUUUCCUUUUGAUCAAGGAGUGGAAUAUUAACAUUAUUUGAUAAAUUUUUAGGUCUCAUUUACUUUGUGAAAACAUUUUCUGUUUUCAUUGUCUAAAAUAUGAGUUCAUUUUAAUUUGAAGAUGUGAAACUCUUAGAUGAAUAAUUGUGAUGGAGAGAAUAUAAAAUAUCAGUUUGAGUGGCACAUUUUUGGAGAUAAUGAAAACAAUCUUUUGACAAUUUUGUUGUUUCCAAAAAAUAUACACAAUUGUUUAUUGCAAGAGUCUAGUAUCUCCUUGUUAGUAAAUUAACACAGAUUUUAUGAAAUAAAAAUAGAUAAUCUUUUCAUAAAGGAAACAGGGCCUUAGUUUCUCGUAAUUUUCAAAGGUAUAAGUUUUCUAAGCCAUUUUUUAAAGGGCAUCUUGCACUGUAAAGAUCUUGCCAUUGCCGUGUUGCGAGGGUCAAAAUCAUUGUGGGUAUAUUGUAGGCUACAAUUGACAAGGUGGCCUUACCCUAUCUUUGCAGAAGAUACUAAUUUGACAACCCAAAUCUGUAAUCUCCUAACCACAUUUCAGAGUGGCAUGUGUUUUGCCUGUAACUUGUUUUCUUUUCAAGCCAAUUUUUGCGUGUUCCGACUCAAUGUUUUGUUACAUGUUAUUGUUAUCCAUCCGACUACAAGCUUGCUGCUAUUCUUGACUAGCUUCUUUUGUGAUGUAUCCUAAUUGGAUUUUGUAACAGCAGAUCUCCUACUAACAUACUAUUUCUUGCACAGGUGUUAGAUCCAUGUUGACAUUUGUUGGUUGCCUCAGUGGUAUGCUUAUGGCCGUCAAUGGUUAUUAUCUCAGAAAUUGUCAAAACCUUCAUCUUAGCAGAUUUCUGUUACUACUUACUUUUAUGUCAAAAGGUUAGUAUAAUUCUAAAUUUAGUACUUUUGUUUUUUUUACUUGUUUCUGCACUUUUUUUUUGGUGCAACACAUAAACCGCGAACCUAGCUUCAGUCAAUGAGACAUAACCACAUCACGGCGGGAAAUUGGAUUCCAAGAGAAUAAAAUGUGAAAAUAGUGAAGCAAAUAUUUGGAGUUUUUGAAUUCAUGUGGUUUUUAAACGCGGUUUUCAUCAAAUUGAUGGGCAAAGGCGCACAAAUUGGCAUUGUUUAGGGUGACAAAAAGUUUGGAAAAAACUAGUCAUUUUGUCUUGAUUUGCAGGAAUAUUCAGGGAGUUUUGAAGCAUAUUCAUUUGUUAGGUAUUCAGUCAGCUACAUGAUUCCAACACUCAUUAGUUAAUGCACAUAGCAAUUAACGACAUUGCACUAAUAACAUUUUGUAGUGAGCACUAGUUUAACACUUAAUCCUAAAGGGUUGCUAUCAAACAUAAUCACAAAACCAGAAAAUAAUCCUUAUCCUUUUCCUUAAGUAGACAAAGACCCACGAACUCAGCCAACUCCCGGGUAGUGGAUGAAAAGUUUUCCAUGUCUGUUCAGACUUGCGAGAGAAAUUGUAUGGGGCCCAAAAACCCUUCAAGAGGGAAGUUUCAGGCUUCUAUUGGAGUACAUGAGAUUUUCAGCCCAGAGGUAAUAAUUAGUUACGAAUUUCUUCUUUGGUUUCAUAUUUUCAUCUUUAUUUAUUUACAAUAUACUGUAGUCCCAUAUGGUGAAUUUCCUCAACAAUAAUAAUCUUGAAAUUGUGAUCAUGACAAAUAGAACUAUGCAUUGUUAGUUAGGAUGGGAAAUGGUCAAGUUCAAGAAGUAGAACAAUCUCACAGAUUUCAAUCAAGUCACAACUGAAGACCUCAUUGUAGAACAUUCAUCAUUAGAAAUAUGACUUUAUUAAAACCACACAAGUUAUUCAGGUAGAAUAUAACCAAUUAAAAUUUUGAAAACAAAGUUGAUACUAUCAUAUAAGACGUAAAAUAAAAAUAAUAAAGUUGUAUAUGGUAUGAUGAUCACCUUACCCUAUUUUGAACACUAUAUUUUCUAUUAUAUUAAAUUGAUAAUUGAUGCGGUUAACCUACAUAUCUCCCUACAUAUCUCCGUUAAAAAAAUAGAGGAAUAGAGAUGAUGGUUGAUAUCUAUUGAUUUAUACCUAAAGAUUUUUAAUUUUUAUUUAAUGGAAAUUGAAUUUGUUUUUGGAGGAAAUUAUACCUAGAACUUAAAUCGUCUUCCUUUGUUUUUUUUUGGUUCAAAUAGUCUAGUGACUGAAAUUCAUCAUUUAAAGGUGAACAAGUGAGAUGUUACGGGUUCGAACCUACAUCUUUAUCUUUGAUGUUCUUGCACAACUAUCAACUGAAUUGAUUUAACGAGACUCUUUUGUCUUUGUAUUUUUAAUAUUCUUUCAAGAGAGUUAAUUUUUUAUUUAUCAAAUUCAAUAGAAGUAUUAAUAAUAAAGUGAUUAGACUAAAUGAUAAGUUAAAUUUUAAUUAAUAGAAAGACAUUUGAGUUUGAUAUCUAGUUGAACUAAGUAGUUAGAUAUUGUUUAUUUCUUUAGCCAAACUCUGAAUUAUUAAAAUCUCUUUCUCCUAUUAAAAAUUAGUGGAUUAACAAAUAAGAAUAUAAGAAGUAUGUUAAAAGAUUAUUUUUUUCCAAUGCUGUGACUCAAUUUUACAUAGACUUUUCCCUAUCCCCCUUCUAUUCAACCAAAAAUUGUUUAAUUUCCUAUCACUAACUACGUAUGUAAAAUAAUAACAAUCCCUUUUUUCUUCAUUUUUAGAUAUGGAAAGCAGCUUUAACAGAAUUAGUUGCAACUGCCUCACUAAUGUUCACCUUGUCUACCACCAUUAUUGCAUGCUUGGACUCACAUGAAGUUGAUCCUAAGCUUAGUGUCCCCUUUGCAGUCUUCAUCAUAGUCUUCUUAUUCCUAAUUGUCACAGUUCCUCUAUCUGGUGGCCAUAUGAGCCCUGUUUUCACAUUAAUAGCUACUCUAAAAGGUGUUACCACUCUUUCUCGUGCACUCCUUUAUAUCUUAGCACAAUGCAUUGGCUCGAUAAUUGGUUUCUAUAUACUCAAGUGUGUGAUGGAUCCAAGACUAGUAAACACAUAUUCAUUGGGAGGUUGUGCUAUUGGUGGCAAAGGACUUAAUUCUAGUAUCAAUCAGUAUGAAGCUUUGUUAUUGGAAUUCUCUUGCACAUUUUUAGUACUCUUUUUGGGUGUCACAUUGGCUUUUGACAAAAAAAGGUCAAAGAAUUUGGGCUUGCCGAUGGUAUGUUUGGUGAUAGCUGGAGCCAUGGCAUUGGCAGUGUUUAUGUCCAUAACUGUAACUGGACGGGCUGGUUAUGCUGGUGUUGGGCUUAACCCAGCAAGAUGCCUAGGUGCUGCAUUGGUUCAUGGAGGUUCACUAUGGGAUGGGCUUUGGAUUUUUUGGGCUGGGCCUAUUUUGGCCUGUUUAAUCUAUUAUAGUGUCUCUAUCAACCUACCAAAAGACAGUUUGGUUUUGAUGGACGGAGAAAAUGAUGGCUUAAAGUUGCCUCUUGGUUCUAGUGUGACAAUACCUAAUGGUGACAUUUCAAAGGAGACUUUUUAUUCUGCCUCUCAUGUUUCUCAAAACACUUGAUUUGUUUUGAUUAUGUAAUUCGAAUGUUGGUUUUGCAUAAUCCGAGCAUGUUUUGAGAAAUGUCGAGGAUAGAUAAACUAUCUGAAUUAAACUAUAUCACAAUAGAAGAAAGUGAAGCUGAUUUCAAGUUAUGCGUGGAAAGGGAUAAACUUUGUGACUUUGUUGUCGUGCUAGUUAACAACUACACUUACUAAUAGUAGUUGAUUAACGGAAAGGAAACUAUUUUCAUUCACUUUUUCUCUUGUAUUAUUAGAAAUUACUAGAAUAUAGGUUCAAUUACUACUUAGGACUUAUUGUGUAUUGUGUUUUGGCUUUUAAGUAUUUAAAAACAGUUUUGAAAAACUAUUUAAAACUAGUAUAUUAAUUUUUUCAAAUUUAAAAUUAGAACAUAUGGGUGUUUGUUUUGUGGAUACAAAUGUUAUUUUCGGAAAUAUGACAUUAGAAUUUACACAUUCCAUUGUUUGUUUCAAGUUUUGAUAAUUUAUUCCCGUGUACUUUUUAUUUCCAAUAAUAUGUAUUGUUUAAAAAUUUCUUUAUUUUUAUUCUCAUGUCAAAUGAUAGAAAUCUUAUCUUUCCAUGAAAAUAUAAACCAUAACUUUCAUUCUCAUAUUAUUUUAACACAUUUAUUUUUUAAUUUUUAAAAUUUAAUUAAAAUAAAAUUUAAAAACAUUCCUGAGAAUUUUAUUGUUUGUGAAACACAUUGAUAAGAAUAAAGUUCCUGACAAUAAUAUUUCUAGAAAUGAUAUUCCUGAGAUUAUAAUUUUAAUCCAUCAAACAAACACAUCCAUAAAAUUGAGGAAUAGAAUUUUAAAAAACCGUAACAGUUUUAAGAAAACAAGCCGACCAAUAAAAAUUUCUAUUUAAUUUGUUAUAAAACAAAUUUAUAGAUAUUUCUGAAAAAUUAUGUUUUUUCUUCUGAAAACUAAUUUUAAAAGUCUUAUACUGAUUGUACAAUUUUAAAUUUAAGAGCAUAAAUUUGAGAAAAAGAAUUAAGAACUAAAAAUUGUAAAACAGUUACAAACAUUAAGCUAGCCAAACAAAAAAUUCUAAUAAAUUUGCUAAAAAAACCUAUUAAAUAACAGAUAUUGUUUUGGCCUGGCCAGGAAAGCAUAGAUCUAAUGUUAACCUUUUACGGUCUUUUAGGACAUUCUCCUCUCCACCACAUCACCACAACAAAGAUCUUGAACCACAUUAAUAAACCGUAAAUUCAUCCUCUCUGAAUUAAUUUUUGAUUCCUACAAUUUUUAUGAUCAUGUUAUGGGAAAUGUUAAUGAUCAAUUUUUAUAGAAUAACAAAUAACUCCUCUCACCCUAAUUAGGAUUUGCGUUAUACAAUGAUGAGAGACUAGUGUGCUAUUUAUAAGAAAACUAACACACUAAACUAAUAUGCUUUUACACACAUACCCAUUACACAAGCUAACUUAGAAAACAAGCUAACUUAAACAAUUGUGCAUAACACAUAAGCCAAAUUCGACAUGCUAAUAAUCCUAGCAUACUUCGACUACAACAUAUGGACAAACUUCGAUGACAUGCUAAUGAUCCUGUCGAAUUGUCAACCAAGAAGCUACCCUUCAACCAUAUUAGAGUUCGAUCCAAUAUCUCACAAAUCUCCACUUUGGAACAAACUCUACAACAUCAAGGGAACAAACUAUAGCUUUUUUCAUGCAACUUUAUCAACUGCAUACAAUGGGAAAACUUGCAACUUGGUAAUGUCUUGGUGGUAUCAGCAACAUUGUGAUCUCUCGAAACCUUUAGCAGUUGGAAUUCUCCACACUCGAUUACCCCUCUAACGAAAUGCAACAUCAUGUGCUUGGUUCGCUCAUGAUAAGCUGAAUUCUUUGAUAGGUGUAUAACACUUUAACUAUCACAUUUAAUAGUGAUGACUCGACCUUGAAGUUUCAACUCAUUAGCAAAACUUUCAAGCCACAAUACUUCUUUCACAACUUCAGUGAGGGUGAUAUAUUUUGCUUCAGUGGUUGAUAAUGCAACAACCUUAUGAAAUGUUGCUUUCCAACUGAUUGUUGUGCCAAAUAGUGAACACAUAUCCAAAAAUAUAUUUUCUGGAAUCCAUACAACAUGCAUAAUCAGAGUCGACAUACCCUUCGAUUUCUGCUUUACUAUUUUUACCACAUGCCCCACCAUAAAUCAGGACUCUGUUCAAAGAUCCAUUUAUGUAUCUUAGAAUCCACUUCAAUGCUUGCCAGUGAACCUUUCCAGGAUUCACUAUGUACCUACUUACAAGACUUAUUGCAUAUGCUAUAUCGGGUCUAGUACAGACCAUAAUGUACAUCAAAGAACCUAAUAUGUUAGCAUAUGUGAUGUUAUACAUAUAAGCUCCUUCAACCUCAGUACUGAGACACUCAUCUGUACUCAACUUGAAUUGAGGGCUUGUUGGAGUCACAAUAUGCUUUGAAUUCGACAUACAAAAUUUAUCGAGAAUCUUUCGUAGGUAUGUCUCUUGAGAUAAGCAUAAUUUUGACUCUUUUCUGUCUCUUCAGAUGUCAAUCCCAAGAAUCCUGGAUGCAGCUCCCGGAUCCUUCAUAUCGAACUCCUUAUUGAGUUCAUCAUUCACCUUCAUUACAUCCUCAACAUUGUUGCUUGAUAUGAGAAUAUCAUCCACAUAAAACAACAAAAUAAUAAAUGAAUUUCCAGGUCGAAAUUUGAAGUAAAUACAGUGGUCAAACUGACUUCUAAUGAAAUCUAUGUAUGUCAUGAACUUGUCAAAUCUCAUAUUCCACUGUCGAGAAGAUUGUUUCAGUCCAUAUAAAGAUCUAUUCAGCUUGCACACACAAUCUUCCUUUUUCUUUUCUGCACACCCUUUAGGUUGCCUGAUCAGGAUUGUUUCAUCUAGAUCUCCAUACAAGAAAGAAGUCUUCACAUCCAUUCGUUCCAGUUCUAGGUCGAACUGUGCCACCAUGGCAAGUAACAUUCAAAUGGACUUGUGUUGCACAACAGGAGAGAACACAACCUUAUUUUAGAGUGAAACCCCUUGCGACCAAUCUUGCCUUGUAUCUAUUUGAUGUCACUCAUUCGAUUCCUUCCUUAACUUUGAAAAUCCACUUACAUCCGAUUAACCUGGCUCCAGUAGGUUUCUUGAUCAAUUCCCAAGCGUGGUUAUCAUGAAGAGACUUCAUCUCAUCAUCCAUGGCCUUCAGCCAUUUAGUCUUAUUUCGACUCCUCAUAACUUCCUUAUAGCCUCUAGGUUCUUCAUCUAGAAACUCACUUGCAGAGAUUAAGGAAUAAGCUAUGAGAUAUGCAUACCCAAGUAUUUGAGGUGGCUUGACGACUUUUCUCGGCCUAUCUCUUGCCAAGAGGUAGUCAUCGACAGUUUCCUCAACUUCCUCAGUAUCUUCAGCAUCUUGUGUUUCUUCUUUAACUUAAUCUGGGAUACACAAUUCAGUAUCGACAUGCUCCACCUCAACAUGAAUCUCUUCAUGUUCCAGCUCUUCUUCAAAUAUCUGUGCACUUCAACUAACAUCAUCAGUUUUCUUGAAAGCCACCUCAGCUUCAUUGAAAACUACAUCUCGACUGGUGAUACACCUCAUGUGACCUGGCUCAAGGCACCAUAGCCUAUAAACUUUUACUCCUUCAGGGUAUCCCAUUAACAUGAAUCUCAGAGCUCUAGGUUCGACCUUGUCUUACCUAAUAUGUGCAUAGACUAUGCAACCAAAUACUCUAAGUUUAUCGAGAUAUGGUGUGUGUCCCGACCAAACUUCUUCAGAUGUUUUCAUAUCUAACACUGUCGAAGGACAUAUAUUUAUCAGAUAUGUUACUAUCGAAACAACCUUUGCCCAAAACACCUUCUUUAAGCCAACAUUAGUCAACAUGCAUUUAACUUUUUCCAAAAUGGUUCGAUUAAACCUUUCAGCCAAACCAUUUUGUUGGGGGAGUACCUGUAGUAGUUUUGUGCCUUGCAAUACUAGAGGCUGUACAAAAACUGUCGAACGCCUCGUCGCAAAAUUUAAGGCCAUUGUUGGUUCUCCACCUCUUGACCUUUUUGUCAGUCUGAUUUUCGACCAGAGUCUUCCAACUUUUGAAGUUCUCAAAAGUUUCAUCCUUAGUCUUCUGAAUGAAUACCCAUAAAUUUCUAUAAUAAUCAUCAACUAUGGAUGGAAAAUACUUUGCUCUUGAAUGUGAUGGGCACCUUGCAGGCCCCCAAAGAUCAACAUGGAUGUAAUCAAGGGAUCCAUGUGUUCUUUGUUUGCCUUUAUUGAACUUCACUCUGUAAGAUUUUCCAAGUACACAGGGUUCACAAAACUUCAGCUUUUUGAAUUUGUCUCAACCAAGUAGAUUUUGUUUCCCCAAUACGAUCAAACCCCUUUCACUGACAUGACCCAAUCUCAUGUGCCAUAUUUUGUCUUCGAUAAAGGUUUCGUGGAUGCAACAUCUGCAUAACCAUUGACAACUUCAGCCUCAAGGGUAUACAAGCCUUGUUUCUUCACGCCUCUUAAGAUUUCCUUCGACCCCUUAAUGACUUUUAAAAUACUUUUAUCUCCUUGGAAAACAUAUCCUUUCUUGUUGAAUUCACCAAGAGAAAUCAAAUUUCUCUUAAAAUCAGGUACAUACCUGACUUCGGUCAACAAUCUUAUUGACUCAUAAUGAAGUUUGAAUCUCACAGAUCCAACACCUUCAAUCUUUCAAGCUUUAUUGUUUCCAAGUAAUACAGAUCCACCAUCUUGAUUACAUAGUUCCUCGAACAGGUCUUUGUUUGGAGUCAUGUGCCAAGUGCAACCUGAACUCAUAAUACACUAUUUACUUGAGUUGUCGUUUGAAACCACAUGAACCUUAAAUGAGUUGAAAUCAUCUUGAACAAUGAUUGCAUUGUCAUUAUCCUUACCUCCAUGAUCUUUCAGGCGUUCAAGGAACACUUUUCUUGUAUGACCCUCCUUCUUACAGUGAUAACAUCGAGUACCAUAUGCAUCACCACUAUAAGACUUAUGUUGACUUUUACCCUUCUUCUUGUCGAACUUGCCAUAUCUCUUUGUGAAUUUCUCCUUAAACGACAUGCCUUCACCAAUCGAAGAUGGCUUAUACUCCUUUCGUUCGUUCAAAUCCUUAUAAUACAAGGCUGAUUAAACUUCUUCAAAGGUCAUAGACUCUCUUCCACACCAUAAAGUUUCUUUGAAGUGAGCAUGUGAUAUGGACAAAGCACACAACAACAACAACAACAAUGCUUGAUCAAGAAUCAACUUGUUGAACAUAUCUAACUUCUCAGCCAAAACUUUGUCUUCACUCAUCUUUAAUGAAUACAUAGCUUGCUUCAAGUAGAGCCAAUUGUCCAACGAUUUGGUCAUGUACAAACUUCCGAGUUUCACCCAUAACCCCGAAGAACCUUAUCACCCAGGCUCAAUAAGAUGGCAUUGUGGGAUUUCUCUACCAUAUUCGUUUUUUCUUUGUCCGUUAACACAUUGUCCAUGGCUUCGACUCCCUUCAACACUUCUAAACAACCCUGCUGAACUAGUAGGGCUUUCAUCUUCAAGCGCCACAUACCGAAAUCGUUCGCUUCGGUGAACUUUUCAAUCUCAUACUUUAUUGACGACAUCUUCUCCAUGCUCACCGCACCAAUUUGUUAUGAAAACAAUACAAAAAUAACAAAGUAUAAUCGAUUUCUUGAUCUGCAAGAAACCCACAAGGGCAGAAAAAAAGGAAGGAAGAAGAGCACACAAAAUUGGUUAUAAACUGUUAUUCUUUACUUUGUAUUUGAAACACGAUUACAAAUGUUAUAGAAUAGAAAAUAACAUCUCUCACUCUAAUUAGAAUUUGCGUUGUAUAAUGAUGAGAGACUAGUAUGAUAUUUAUAAGAAAAUUAACACACUAAACUAAUAGGCUUUUACACACAUGCCCAUUACACAAGCUAACUUAGAGAACAAACUAACUUAAACAACUGGGCAUAACAAAUAGACUCAAUUCGAGAUGCUAACAAUCCUAGCAUACUUCGACUACAGCAUGUGAACAGACUUCGACAAUAUGCUAAUGAUCCUGUCGGAUUGUCGAACCAAGAAGCUACCCUUUAACCAUACUAGAGUUCGAUCCAAUAUCUCACGAUACCUAUAUGAAUGAGACUUGAUGGGGAUAAUAUUGUGGGAUGAGUUUGUUGAGGUAGAAACGACUAAUUCUAUGAAACCAAGACCAAGAUUGUAAUUUAUAAUUAAUAGAACCUUCUUUAUUAUGGAGGAUCCGAAAGUAGCCGUUCAUGGUAGGUAGACGCAGAUUAGGUGAUCAAACCAAACGAAGACAACUUUUGUGUUGGGGUUAAAUUUAAUCGUGAGCCCAAUAAUAAUAUUAUGAAGGAAAUGAAUAGAUAAAUUAUUGUUGUGAUAUUUUUGCCGACAAAACUAAAUUAAUGCUUCUAUAGAAAGUACCCUUCUAAAUGAAAUUGUGAGUCAUUCAGUCUAUGGUAUCAAAAUGUUAUAAGGGAUCCAUGUGUUUUGCAUGUUGUUGCUUGCUAUGAGAAUAUCAUCCACAUAAAUCAAUACUCUGCUCAGAGACCCAUUUAUGUACCUUAGAAUUCACUUCAAUGCUUGCCAGUGUGUCUUUCCAGGAUUGACCAUGUACCUGCUUACAAGGCUCACUGCAUAUGCUAUGUCUGGCCUAGUACAUAUCAUAAAAUACAUCAAAGAACCUACUAUACUAGCAUAUUGAAUGCUAUUCAUAUAGGCCCUUUCGACUUAAGUACUAGAACUUUGAGUCGUACUUAACUUGAACUAAGGUGUAGUCGGUGUUACAACAAGCUUUGAAUUCACGUACCAAACUUGUUAAUAAUCUUCAAUAGAUAUAUCUCUUAAGAUAAGCAUAAUGUUGACUGAUUUCUAUCUCUCUGAAUGUCAAUCCCAAGAAUUCUGGAGGCAACUCCUAGAUCUUUCAUGUCAAACUCCUUAUUAAGUUCAACCUUCACCUUUAUAACAUCCUCAACACUGUUGCUUAUUAUGAGGAUGUCAUGACAUAAAGCAAGAAAAUAACAAGUGAUCUUCCAGGUCAAAAUCCGAGGUAAACACAGUGGUUGAACUAGCUCCUAGUAAAACCUAUAUCUGCCAUGAACUUGACGAAUCUCAUAUUCCAUUGUCGAGGAGAUUGUUUCAGGCCAUAUAACGACCUAUUCAACUUGCACACAUAAUCUUCCUUUACUUUUUCUACAUACCCUUUAGGUUGCCUCAUCAGGAUUGUUUCAUCCAGAUCACCAUACAAGAAGGCGGUCUUCACAUCCAUCUGUUCAAGUUCUAGGUUGAAGUUUGCCACCAUGGCUAACAACAUCCUAAUGGAUCUUUGCUUUACAACAUGUGAUAACACAUUAUUGAAUUCAACACCUUCUUUCUGAGUGAACCCCUUAACAAUCAACUUUGCCUUAAAUCGCUUCGACAUCACUCUUCAGAUUUCUUCCUUAACCUUGAAAAUUCACUUACAAUCGACUAACCUGCCCCCUGAAGGUUUCUCGAUUAGCUCCUAGGUGUUAUUAUGGUGAAUAUAUUUCAUUUCAUCAUCCAUGAAUUUCAUCCAUUCAGUCUUAUUUUGACUCCUCACAACUUCCUUGUAGUCUCUAGGUUCUUCAUCAAGAACUUCACUUGCAGAGAUUAAGGCAUAAGUAAUGAGAUCUGCAUAACCAAGUCUCUGAAAUGGCUUGAUGACUAUUCUCGGCCUGUCUCUUUCCAUCAGGUAGUCAUUAUCAGUCUCCUCAUUUUCAUCAGCAACUUGUGCUUCUUCUUCAACUUCAUCUGAGUUAUGCAAUUCAACAUCAUUAUGCCCCACCUCAACUAGAAUCUCUUCCUGUUAAAGGUCUUCUCCAGAGAUCUUGGUACUUCAACCAACAUCAUCAAUUUUCUUGAAAUCCAUCCCAACUUCAUUGAAAACUACAUCUCGACUUGUGAUACACCUCUUGUGACCUGGCUAUAGGCCCCAUAACCUAUAAACUUUGACUCCUUCAGGAUAUCCAAGGAACAUACAUCUCAGAACUCUAGGUUCGACCUUGUAUUGCCUAAUGUGAACAUAGGCUACACAACCAAAUACUCCAAGUCUGUCGAGAUUAGGUGGAUGUCCCGAUCGAACUUCUUUAGGUAUCUUCAUCCCUAAGGCAUUCGAGGGACACCGAUUAAUCAUAUAAACUGCAUUCCUGACUACCUCAUCCCAAAAGACCAUAUUUAAUCGUGCAUUAACCAACAUGCACCUCCCUCUUUUCAGAAUGGUUUGAUACAAUAUAUUAAGGAAUUUCCUUAAUCUAUUAUCACGAUAAAUCUUGAUUGACCUCUCAAUAGUGGAAAAGUUCCAAAGCCAUAUCAUGCGGUUAGCCAGGAAAAUUAUGCUAGUAAUAAUUUAUCCAAAAUAAAUAUUUUAUUAUAGUUAUAGGUUCUUAAUAUCAUCCAUCAUAUACAUACAUACAUAGAAAGACACAGAUGCAGAUGCACCUAUGCUAUUGUUGUUUCAGUAGUAGAGGAUGGCUGCAAAAGUGUAGAAGAUGAACCCAGAGGCUCAUGCACUACAGAAUUUGAAGAAACUGAUAUAGGACUUCCUUCCAACUGCAACAUGAGACUCCCCAAUAUUUCAGUUAAUACUUUCUUGAACUCAUCUUCUUUCACCAACUUCGCAUCAUCUGCACUCACCAUCUUAAACACUUCACCGAUAACCUUAUCCAUCUGUAAAACCAAAUAUAAAUGUCAGGGCGGUCUGUUAAGUUUAAAAUUUGUCAUGAUUAAGUUUUGAUUAAAUAAGGCUCCGUAAAAUAUUUGUUACGGUUAAAACAUGGUUAAAUAAAAUUUCUGUUUAUUUUUUUAUGGUUAAACUACGACUAAUCUCGACUCAGAUGAAUCAGAUGAAUGUUCAAUUUGGUUUUAGUCUUAGUUAGACAUAAUAUACCAAGCAAAAAAUGAUGAAGUGUGAGAGAAGAGAUGACAAACCUCUUGAACUGCGCCAAAAGGAGGUAAAGCAGCGGACGGAGCCACCACAUCCAGCGCCACUCGGAGAUAAUCCUUUGACAUUUUUCCAUUACGAUCUUUAGGGAUAGUCUCUAUAGCUGAGUUCAAAAUCUGCAUUCCAUCAUUAGUUAAUUACUAGUAUAUAUCAAUGAAUAAGCUAAGAACAAGAAAUAUAUUUCAAGGAAUCAAUAUCCAAACCUUGUCUAAUUCAAACUUAUUUGAUAAUAGUCUCUUAACACCACUUCCAUCAAAUUUGCUUUCACUAUGAGCAACUAUGACAGGUUGCUCCCGAAGACGAUUCGCUACGAGCAAUGCCACUCUCUUAAAUUCUUCAAUAAAUAUCUCUUGAGAAACUGGCUUAUUCAAACUAGAUCCACGUCCAGAAAGCAGUGCUGGUUCCACAAUGUUGUUAAUAACCUACACAUAGAAUCAUAAGCCACAAUGCUCCGAAAAAUAUAGCAAUAACUUAAAACUUUCAUAGCAAAAUUUUUUAUAGUUCAACUUUUUUAAUGGUAUGAAUUGGCUACCCAAGGAUCAGAAGUAGGAGGAAUCCCUUGAUCAACAUUGAGUUUGCUGAGAGCUUGAAUUAUAAGAUCGUGAAGAGAUGCGUGAGGUGAUUCAAUUUGCGAGAAUAUAGAUACGAUUUCGGGUUCAUAAACUGAACCAUUGAGAAACUCGAGAAGAUCUUCGCCAUCAAUGCGAAGAAUCACAAUCGGGUCUCGUUUGAGUCCAGCAGCCAUGCCCAACAGAAUGUCUGAAAGAACCUCUUUGAACUCAGUCUUGCUCACUUUUUCAUGCUUUCCAUGUGUGAAUUCAUUCAAAACCUGAGGAGUUAUUAAGUCAAAUGUAAAAAAAUUGAAAUGAUUCCUUAUUGGUUCAAUAUAAUGGUUAAUCAAAGACAAAGACAAAGACAAAUUCUUAUCAGCAAUAAAAACUAAAGUUAUUAUUAUAAAAUACAGUAUUAUAUGUACAAACACAUGUAUAUGUAUGUUUUUCAAUUUGUUUGACUAAAUGUGUGCUUUCACAUAUAUGUAUUGAUAUACUCCAUUUGAUCUAUAGUAUAAGUCAGUGGGUGAUUUUGUCAAAUGAAAAUUAUUUUCUUAUUUUGCUAAAACAACUUACUAUUCAUAUAUUCUAAAGAUGUCAAGUUACAAGUGUUCUAGAAUACCAAUUGGAGGUUUUAUAAACAGUUCAUGUUUGUCUCACAGUCAGAUUGAUUUCAUGGAGAUAUUUUUAUCAAAGGAAGAGAAAUGAUGGGAACGAAGGGGAGAGAUUUUGGAAAAUAUGAAAUGAGAAAGGAAAAUUGUAACUACAAAUAUGUUUGAUUUACAAUAGAGGAAAAAUAUUUAAAACUAAUUUAUAUUUGGGUAAUACUAAUUUGUGUCUUUAUAUAAAAAAAUAUUGUCUUAAAAAUUGGAAAUUAUACAUUAAUUUUAAUUAAAAAAAUUAAUUAAUUAUUUUUAGUGUUUUUUUCAAUAUAAACAUUCUAUAUAUAGAUUUCUUAUUAGGAUUACCCUUUACAUUUUUAUCUUUGUAAUUUUCACCAUAAAAUUUAUUUUCAAACAUAAAUUUAUUAACGAAUAUAUUCAAUAAGAGAACAUCGUAACAUUAAAAAUAUAACAAUAAUAAUAUAUAAUUUAAAAUAAUUAUCAAAUGCAAUCAAAUGUAAACAAUAAAUUAUUAUAAAAAAAGUUAAGAUAAAUAAAAAAUGACAUAAAUUUUUUUUAAAAAAAAUAAAAUAAAAUAAAUUUAAACAAAUGAAUAAUAAGAUGAAGAUAUAAAAAAGUAUAAAAAAAAUAUAUGAAGAUAAACUUUAUCUAAAGUAAAACUUUUAAAAUUUUAAUAAGUGAAAAUUUAUAUUUAAAUAAAUAAAUAAAAAUAAAAAUAAAAAUAUAAUUAUAAUUAAUAUAAAACACCUUUCUUCCACUUCAAACAUAUAUAAUAUUAAAUAUUCUUUCUCCACCACUCUCCUACUUUCCCUUACCCCAAACAAACAUCCCCUUAUUGUUUAGUCAUAACACAAUUUUAAACUCUAUGCAAUAUUUCAUCUUACACUCCUUAAUCACUAACUUUCUUCUCUCCUAAUUAAUAUAUUUUUUAAAAGAUACUACCUCCGUUCCCGUUCCUAUUUGUAAGAGACAAACAUAAGAAAUCACACAAACCAAGGAAUAUUUUUUUUAAUUAAUUUUUCUGAAAAAUAAACUUGUACUUCCAAAAAUACCCCUAAGUUAAACAUUUAGUAGUAUUAAUGUUUAAUAUAAGCCAAAUGUUGAUAUAAUAAAAAUUGGUCAGCAUUUAUUCUAUCCAAAAAUAAUUACAACAAAAAAAAUUGGCUUUCCACAUUCUCAUCGUGAAAAAUUAGAUGCAAUUAAAUUUCCCUCUAUUUUUUUUAUACAUCUUUCCACCAAAUUUUAAAAACCAAAAUAAUCUUCCCACCAAUUUUGUAGUAUAUUUGUCUUUUUUAUAUAAAGAGAGUUGGUGUUUCAUUUCAAUCAUACUAGAAAUUUAGUUUUCAUCUACUAGAAUUAAGUCCAUGGCAGAUGAAAAUGGUGAGCAAUCUCUUUAUAUAUUGAUUACUGUGUGACACGUUAAUAUACUGUUGACCCAUUAUGUGUAUGGGGAAUAUACAUAGCACGUUCUUUUUCAAAACAUUAAUGCCCAAUGAAUAAUAAAUAUUGCAUUUUGUUUACUAAGGGUAUAAAUGAGAUUUCUCAAUUAAUAAAAUUUAAUUUUAUAAUGUGUCUCUUAUAAAAAGGACCAAAAGAAAGUUACAAUUUGUCUCUUACAAAUAGGAACGGAGGUAGUAAUUAAUAGACCAUCAUGAUUGAAAAUGCGGGCCUAAAAUUUAAAUCUGUCCCGCAAUAAAGAAAGGGUGGGAGAGAAAAAAUCCACCAACAUCACAAUUUUUAAAUUUUAAAAUGCAAAAUUUUAUAUAAAUACUCGUACCCGUAUAAACCCGCGAAAAAACGGGACGAGACGGAAUACACACAUUAAAAAAUGAAACCAUAAAUCUUUGAUCCGCACUGCACUAAAUUGCGGACAAAAUGAAUUUGUCCAAUUGAUCGGAUCCGUUUUACCACCCCACUAUGCAGCUUAUGCUUUAUAUAUUUAUUGCUCGUAUAUAUUUGGUACUCCUACGUAGUUACUACUCCCUCCGUUCCUUUAUAAGUGUCACUUUCUUGUAAAAAAUUUGUUUCUUUUUAAUUGUCACUUGCAAAGUUCAAGGUAGUAUUAAUUGCAAUUUUGUCAAAAUUACCCCUAGAUAAUGAUUGCAAUAAGUGUCACUUUCUUGUAAAAAAUUUGUUUCUUUUUAAUUGUCACUUGCAAAGUUCAAGGUAGUAUUAAUUGCAAUUUUGUCAAAAUUACCCCUAGAUAAUGAUUGCAGAGAGAGAAAAAGUAAAAUGAAUGUAAUAAAUAAUUAAGGGUAUUAUAGGUAAAAGAAAAAUUAUUGUUUGAAAAGUAACAAUAAUGAUUAACUUCCUUGAUAUAUGUAAAAAGUCAAAAAAUGACACUUAAAAAGGAACGGAGGGAGUAGUUACUUAGGCAUUUUAUUUCUUUUUUUUAAAACUAUGCCCCACACACACAAAAAAAAACUCCUUUAAUUUGCUUGUCCCAGCCAGAAACAUUGCCUUCGGAAUGCAGCCAUCAACCAGAGCCAUAUAAUAUAUGGUUGAAUGAUAAUAGCAUGUUGACUUUAUGCACUCACAAAAGUCAAAUUCAAUAUUUUCUACUACCAUGCAUUGUCUAAGUACUAAGUACUUAAUAAUAAUUAGAUUUUAAUCUAGUAGUUUAAACAGAGCAAAUCAAUCAUUAUUUUUAUAUUAGACACUAAUCAUAGUCAAAAUAUCAACCGAGUAAUUUCCGCAAGAUUCCUCUUUUAUAUAUAGAGAUAAGAAAAUGAAAACAAAAAGUUAAGUAGGGGCAGCAAAAUCAACUACAACUUUGCCACUAAAAAGCCUUGUCACACCACCGACUCAUUUAUUUAUGACAAAUGUGCACAUACAAAUAAAUAAAAAACAAAUAAAAUAAUGAGUGAACAUGAUAGAAUCCUAAAAAAAUUAUAGAAAGUUCUAACAAAGCUUAAUUAUAAUUUUAUACACUGAUUUAAUUAAUUUUUUAUUUUAAAUUUGAAUAAAACAUAUUAAAACUAUUUUCCUUAAUAUAAUCUAAACCAUAAAAAAACCCUACUUAAACCUACUUUCUCUAAUAAAUAAAUAACAAUAGCAAAAACAAAACAACAAAUUAUAUGAUGAAGGUAAUGACAUCGAUCACAACACUAUUACACUAUUUUAUUUCAUCCCUGACAAAAGAGUAUUAGAAUUUGGAAUAGUACUAACCUAAUUAAACCUAAAAAAGUAACAAAAACAAUUCAUAUCCUUAUCUUCUUACUAAGUCGGUUUAACGCUACAGUUUCUCUGAGCAGUGAUAGUAAAAAAUAACCAUGAAGAUAAGAUAAUCAUGGAUACUUAUUUAGCUUAAAUUCAAAUUAAUUAGUACUAAUUAAUCCUAUAUGCGUAAUUAAUUAGCAGGAAAUGAAAAAGAAAUAGAUAAUUACCUCAGAAUAGAUGUGAUCAGAAUCAGGAUUAGUGCCUUUAGGAGGUAAACCAAGAGCAGCACCAAUAUCAGAAACAGCAGGUUUGAGUUCGUUCACAGAAAGUUUACCAUCUCUAUCUCGAUCCAACUCUUGAAACUUAUGGUUCACGAAGUUGCUGAAAACAUCUUUGUUUCCAACUAACUCCAUAAUAUUAGAACCAUCUAGAACAUCUACAGCUUUUCCACUUUUCCUCUCCAUUCCUGUGACUAGCCUUUUUUCUCUCUUCUUGCUGCUCUCGUGACUCUUUCACCGAAUCACAACCAAUUGCUCUUUAUGUGUCUUAGCUAGUAGAGUAUUUAUUUACUUUAGUUUAGUUCACUUCAGUUUCAAUUCAAAUAGGACUUUGCUUUUCUUCUAUAAUGUCCACCGCCUUUUAUUUUAUAAAAUACUACAUGUUUAAUAUAAUAGUUUUUUAUUGUGAUGUUAACAUUUUUAAUAUUAACUUAUACAUCAAAGGUUGAAAGUGAAGAAUUCUCUCUUUCAACUAGUGUUUAUUUAUAUCAAAUCUCUGUGAAGUCUUUUAUCAUAAAAAUUCGCGGUUAACUAAAAAUUAGUUGAAUAAUUACGCUAUGAAAAAAUUAAGUUUAAUAUUAUUUUGUGAAAUUUAAUACGGUCGUUUUUUGAUUUGACAAUUCGACAGAACCUUAGUAUGUCAUCGAAAUCUGCUUACAUGUUGUAAUUGAAGUAUAUUACGAUUGUGAGCAUGUCGAAUUUGUUUUGUUUGUAAUGUUCAAUUGUUUAAGUUAAUUUGUUCUCUAAGUUAGUUUGUGUGAUUGACCUGUGUGUAAAAGUUCAUUAGUUUAGUGUGUUAAUUUUCAUAAAUAGCAUACUAGUCUCUUAUUAUUGCAUAACACAAAUCCUAAUUAGGUUGAGAGAGGUUAUUUGUUAUUCUGUAACACUUGUAAUCUUGUUUCGAAGAGAAAGUAAAGAAUAACAGUUUAUAACCAAUUUUAUUGUGUUCUUCUUGCUUCCCUUUUUUCUACCCAUGUGGGUUUCUUACCGAUCAAAAGACUGAUUAUACUUUGUUAUUUCGGUAUCAUUUUCACAACAUACUUAAAUAAAAAAUUUAAGGUAAACAGAGUGUUCAAUGCACAUCAUUCAUUUAGGAAGUAUCAUAUUGUUCCAAGCUGUAAUCAAAACUAUGGAUGAUAGACUUUUGAUGCGGCGAUGUUGAUCUCUAAUACAACAACGCGUGAGUGAUUAUGCAAAUUUAACACUCUAAUAUCAAAGUCAGUUACUGAGUUUAAGAUGAAUAAAAUGAAAUUAUGAGAUCAAAAAAGUUUAUUUUAAAUCUCACACGUGUCAGUUAUAUAUGAUAAAAAAAAUUGAUUGAACUUUGCAUUGGAGUUAAUAUCGGGAUCUUGCUUGUAUUGGGCCUUUGACCGGUCCAUAACAAUUUCCUCCAAGGCUAGCCAAGUGUUUUAUAAGGCAUAAAGUAUUUUAGAAGUUGUGUCCGUCAUCUUGAUACCAAAGUCGUAUGUAAGAAAAAGUGGGAAGACCAUGAGGCUGUUACAAAAGUAGUGGGGGAACAAACGCAUUAAAUGCAUUUCCUAUCAUUGAGACGUUUCACCAAUUUUUCAGGCAAAUGGCCUUAGACUCGCAAGUUAGAGUGUGAUGCUCUUCUCUAAGGCAUUCGAGUGUACUUGAGUUCAAUUGUAUUUCCAAGAUGAAAUUUGAUCGUUGAUUCUUAACUUUACAUCUUUUAAUCUGACUCGUUGCUUGUUUCUUCUAUAUAAGUUUUUUAUUGUCUUUUGAUUAAAUUUUUCUACAUUCCUGAAAGUUAGCUUCCCCUUUUUAUGAGAGUAAUUUCCUUUUCGUUUCAGAAGUCUUUUCUUGAGCGUUUUCUUUCUUUUGGAAUAAAGUUUUCUUACUUUGCACUUAACAUCUACUCUCUUCGCCUGUCCAUAUUUUCUACAGGUACCAUUCUUACCAUGAGCUUAUUUUCUCAUUUCUACUCUUUAUUAUCACUAUGUCUCAUAUGAAUGUUCAUCCUAUGGAUCUGUCUAGUGAUUCUGAGUAGUGGUUCCUCUCCCUUCGUUAAAGCAGAAACUUCCGCUAGUUUAGAUUCAAACCAAUCUAUUGUUAGUCAUUCCACUCUAAUUUUCAUAAAUGUGUCUGAUAGUUCUGAAUCAGAGAGGUUCUCUUGGUAGGGAAACUUCUCUUGAUGAACCUUCCUUCGACGCCCUCAUUUCUGAAGAGGGUGCUAGAAGUGAUUGCGCAAUCAGUUAUGCACUUGCUCUAUCUGCAACCAUGGCGAAUUCAGCUUUUCCUGCUUUGGCUUCAUUGGAGGUGGAAGUUACUGCUCUAAACAUGGAAGAGGCUCUCACUUUCAUCAAAACAUACCAUACCGCAUGUCAUACCCCAAAAUUUUCCUAUUUUUUUUUAUUUUAUCUGGCCCAUAACUCAUUUCAUCUGCAUACUCAUUAUCAUUUAAGUCAUUCUUUUGCAAUUAUAAUUUUUGGCAUCAUUUGAUUCAGAGGUUACUUCUAAUUUAAGAAAUAAGGCAUUGGAUUAGGGUUUGCAAGAUUGGUUCAUUAUACUGUGUGUUAUGGACAUAAUAGCUAGUGGCUAAAUCUCUCUCUUGGAUCCUAAUUGUGGCCUAUGAUAUUUGUGGAUCAUUGCAAUUCAAACAUGGGAGGUUGCCCUUUUACAUUUGCCAUUAUCUGUUGAAACCCCGCAAGGUUAGUUUGUUUGGUUUUCUUCGGUUGAUGCAAGGCAUUGCAAUUUAAAGCUCAUUCAUUCAAGUUCAAGGUCAUAUGCAAGUACAAGAUCAAAUUCAAACUCAAACUUUUGGAGGGAAGCUACCUUUCUUAAAACACAAGUUAUAUAACCCAUUCAAAGGUCAUUUUCAUUAUCAAAACAUGCAUUUCACAUUACAAGUCCAUACAAAAGUACAUCAUUUUGGCCUACUGUUAAAUUUUGGUCAACUAUUGACUUUUUUGUCAAACAAUUGACCAAAGUCAACUAACUAUCUUAAACCCUAAUUCUACUUUUUCCUUCAUUCAUAAUCCUUCCCAUGUUUGUUUAAAUGUCUUUUUGGGCCAUGACCUCUCCAUGUUCCAUGACAAUCUUUAUUCAUGCCUUCAUGACCAAAAUGUCAUGCCAAAACAUUAUUCCAUUCCAUGAUCCCACCAGCUCUGCAAAAUCGCAUACAAUGCACAAUUAAGAUUCAUGCCCAUACAUGGAUAAACAUAACCAUAUACACAAUCCUUAGCCAUGACAAGUAUAACUCAUGCAAGCAUAGCCAUGAUAGUUACACAUACAUAGAUCCAUAACCAAAAAACGCAUCAAACAAUACCAUAACAGUCCAAAUAACUCCAUAAACGAUCAAAAAGCCAUGUCAGUUCAAACAAUGGCAGCCUAACUCUCAAACUUCAAUAGUCAAGCUAAUUGUUUUUCAUUACAUCAAACUAUUUUCAAUUCAAACUUCAAAAUGCUAACAAUUCAUCCACAUAAACUAACUGCAAGUUCAAUUCAAUUAACAAUUUGACUAUUUCACAUUCCUAACUAAAAUUCAAAAGAGCAUUAAAACUUGAACCGACAUUCUAACCAAAUGUAUAAUUAAAAUCAUAACAUUAGCAUAAAAACCAACAUGAUUAGCUCAUUUUCUAUUAACAGCCUGCAAAUUCCUCUAACAGUUCAUGAUGUAACUAAUUCAAACUAUCAAAACUUCAAACAAAGUUCCCACUGUCAACACCAAUUAACUCAAAUAAACUAAUCUUAGCAUCUCAUUUACAAAUCCUUACUAACACAUUCACAAUUCACUAACAUAACUUCAACUCUUCACUGACACAAACUAACUUCUUCAUAACUUCAAAAUGUCAACCUAACAACCUCACUAACUUCAUUCAACUAAUUCAAUUCGAACUAACAUAACAACGCUCUUCAUAACUAACCUUAACAGAAAAUCAAAUCUAACACAACUAACACUCCAAUCAUCCUCUAACUUACUUUAACAGAAACAGUUUCACAAUGUUAACUCAAAACAACUUCCUUCAUUGAUCUUCAUUUGAAUCUAACUGUGCCAUAACUUGUAACAACCUGCCCCAUAGCUUUCCCGAAUCAGUUAACAAUCUCCUCUACAUAACCUUCACUCACCUUCAUUUCAUCAUCAACAAUCAUAUUCUGAAUCACUCUCAAUCUCCUUGAAGCACUAUGAGAUUUCUCUCUGAAGCUCUCUCUCUCUCUCUCUCUGUAUUUUCCCCCUCUACUUCAUCAUUAUCCUCUCAUGCGUAUGUAACAACAACAACACAGAGCAACAACAUCAACAAUAAUCGAUUUCUCCUACGAACUAAGAAUUCGAAAAAGGAGAAGAAGAUUACACCGAGUUCUAAUUACUGACCUUAUUUGAAGUUUCUCUAGUCUUCUUCGUCUCCACCAAGCUUUGCAUUCAACGAACUCCAAGGCCAUCUCUGCCUUGAAAGUAAGUGCUUCAGAUUUUCUUUGUUCGUUCUUUAAAUUCCGUCUUCACCAUGUAUUAUCAAUGAUUUUGAACUAAUUUUUUGUUUCGGUAGUUAGCGUUCAUCCUUUCUUCGCUUUGAUUUGGAAAAUCUGUGGGAGUUUAGGAUAAAAUAGGGUGAGAUUGAGAGAGACGAGGUUGUGAGGUUCGUUUUGAUGGUGGUGAUGGCCGUUUCGACUCAACUCCGCCGCCUCUGGCGCGACGGUGUACAACUUUGAUGAUGGAACUAAUUAAAGUGAGUGUGUGUGAGAGAGAGAUGAACAAAAAUAACAUGAAAAAUGUGAAAUAAGAUUUACUGAAUGAUCCCUCUUCCCUUUCAUUUCGUAUUGAGCCUCAAAACACAUUAGGCCCAUAUGUCUUGCUACCCAAUGCUCCUGAUCUACUCACCCCCCUGAUGAACCACCAUAACAAUACAACUUUAGGCCUUAACUUGUUAGGCAUAGUGUACCCUCUUCAACAGGCCCGACGCCUCAUUUCCUUAACACACAAUCUAGGGCUAAUGCACCCCCCCUGCAUUUAAUUUUAAGUUUUUUUUUCAUUUUUUAUCAAUUUGAUUUUUAGUCUUUUUUUGGCACACUUUCUUUUUUAAUGCACAUUUUAAUCUUUUUAAAUAUAUUUUAAUCCUUUUUAUAUACAUUUUAAUUAUUUUUCCACACGUUUUAAUCUUUUUUUGUUACACACUUUAAUACAUAAAAAAUACAUUACAUUUUUGUUAAUAAUUAUUUAAUACUUAUAUUUUAAUUAUAAAUUAAUUAGGAUUAGUUUUAGAGUUAAUUCUCAAUUAUUUUCUUUAGAAAUUAGUAUUCAUGAUUAUUCAUUUCUUUAGUCUUUAGUCUUUAGUGCUACAUGUGUGCUUGAAAUAUCUUUAACAUGAUCUUAGUCCCUGAUUGAUUGGUUGAUCAAAUUCAUCUUUGAUCAAUUAAUCACUUGCAUGUAUCAUUGUCUUCUUCUUAUAUCCAAACAAGUGAUCAUAAGUCCCUUGAUCACUUGAUUAAAUUAGAUAUCUGUAAUCGCACUGCACUAGAUCUUAAGUCACACUCAAGUUCAAGACUGCAUCCAUACAAGGCUUUGAAGACUCUAGACGUUAAGACUGGAUCACUGCUUCAACCUUCAAGCAUAAUAAAAUAUUUUUCUUUCAACACUUGCCAGUUACAAUAUGAAUUGUGUGCCACGAGCCUUAAGUAGUGGAGAAGGAAUGUGAGGGAGUAAUUCUAUCCUUAUUCUGAAUAUCUUUGGAUACAAGACACCUAACCCAGUUGUUCAAAGUAUUCACCUUCAUUCAUAGACUUUAGUGCAAUUCAAAUUGAAUAACUGUCAAGUCUUCUCCCCCACAUACACUUCAACAUCAAUUAAACUUGCCUCUUUAGACCAAACACAAAAUUCUUUGGACAUUCAUACCUUAUUUGGGUUAAUCACCUCAUGGUUAAACACCCAUAUUUGAACCAAUACCCUUUUCAUGCAUUGCCCUGUGGAGUUCCGUGCUCCUACAACCCUCAUGUAUUGCCCUGUGGAUCUCCAUGCUCCGACAACACUCACGCAUUGCCCUGUGGAGCUCCAUGCUCCGGCAACCCCCUUUCUUGUAGGUCUUGAUCUUUGGAUCAAGGAAAAAUCCUAUAAUUUUGCAUUGGCCACAACAUUUAUUGGUUAACGCCACACUCUUUGGUUCAUACACACAUGUCCCAUGGGUUCAAACCACAUAUUCCUGGUCCAAACAACACUUUCACAACAUCCACAUAACACUUUCCUCAUUUCACAACUCUUUUGUAGUUCAAGUAACUUUCUUCUUUUAAUUAAAUUCAAGCAACUAUUUCUUUUUCUUUUUAUCACACAAACCUUUUUUAGAACAACUUUUAUUUUCAUAAAAGAACUGUUAUAAUUUGUUCCUUAGCAGUCCGACUAAAAGCUAAGAGCAUCCGAACAAGGAUCAAAAUCAGCUAAUGUCUACAAAAUUCUAGGAUACAAUUAUAAUUGUUCCCUAAAAACAAAAAACACAUCCGUAUUUUCUACCAUGAACUAUAGAGCUCUACUUUACUUAUUACAAUAUAAGAAUAAGUAGGCAGGAAGGUUCAAAUCUUUGGCGAGCACAUUAAUUAUCAAUUUUUUCCCUUUAUCAUUUGCAAGUAACCUUUAGAUAUAACACUCAGUCAUGCAAAGAACAAUCAAAAUGGCCCCUGUUAAGUACAACAGAUGUGAGGGGUGCUAAUACCUUCCUCUUACAUUACUGAUUUCAUUACCCGUUUCUCUUUCCCUUGGGGAUUUCAUAAGCAAGUCAAACCUAGUUUUGUUUCUUUCCUUGCAUGUUUGGGUGUUUAUCUUUGUUACGUUACUUGCUUUAUCUUAUUGCAUAUUUAUUUACCUUUUAUCUGCUUUGUUUUUAUUGCAUCUUUAUUGCUUUUAUAUAUUCAUUAUAUUCUAGAUAUUUGUUAUGUUCAUUCAAGUUUGGUGACGACUCUGUUAUAUCUUCGAGCGUGCGAUACACUCAAGUAUUUUUCGCGGCGCGAGACCACCUUUGGUCGGUAUUCAAGUGAUGACGAGAUUAAAGAUUAUCUCAAGCUUGGAACUCGGUAUACUAGUUUCGGCCUGAUGAGAUACCUCGAAGAAGUACCAAUCUUAUGGAUCCGCUUGAUACGAGUAAGUAUAGAUGGGUGGAUUUCAAAAUAUUGAGAGCUCUCUCUAAUAAGAAUGAAGACCGAGAGAGAGAGAGAGAGAGAGAGAGAGAGAGAGAGAGAGAGAAUCGAAGAGUUUAAAAUUUCUGGAAAAUACCUUCAAUGAAGGUCUGAAUUCAAAUGAUCUUGCUCUUGCUUGUGCUUGAUCUCACUCCACUUGCUUGCAGGAGAAGGAUUGAAUGGUUUAGAAGCUAUGGAUUCCUGGAGAAUUGAAUUCCAAAACAGUGGAGAUUCAAGCUCAAAUUCAAGAGAAUUUUUCAGGCUUAUCCUUUGAGAAUUGAGGGUUUGAAAUAGGGGAUCAAAUCUGGUGCGAUUGUGUGUGUAUUUCUGAGCAAUUGAAGCUCUAUUUAUAGCUGAAAUGGUUGAUAAUUGCACUCUCUAAUUCACUUUCCAAUUUUGGAAAAUGGUGAUGUAAUGGUGCAUGGGCGCGCAUAGGCCCAUGAAAUGAUUGUUUGAGGUCCACAAAUGAACAUCAGAUGCUCUAAAGUAAGCUUGGAUUGCAAGGAAAAUGCACAUUGAUGUUUGAAGUUUGAUCCAUGCUAAGUGAUGUCACCAUGUUUAAACCAUACGCAACCUAUACAUUUCUUGUCCAAAAUGAAUGAAUUUGAACUCUUUGGAAAGGUGAGAUCAAGAGGAACAACUUUCAUGUUCAACACUUUUUCAUUUGGAGCUUAGAACUUGGAUAAAUUUGAGGUGGAAGUUUGGAAAUUUUUUACAUAUCAAAAUUUUCCUAAGUGUCAAGCCAUAUGUCUCAAUAUUCCACCUUGCUUAACUUUUUACAUGAGCUUCAAAUGAGAAAAGUGUCUUCAUCAAAGUUGUAGAUAUAUCAAAUAGCUUCAAAAUAGUCACCAAUUUAAUAUCAUUUGGAUUUGAAAUGAUAGAGUUAUGCAUUUUUGAAGUUUGGAAAAAUCACCUGAUCAAUGGUAUAGGUCAAAAGUGACCUAUAAUGUAGCCUCAUAUCACAUGCUCAAAAAAGUUGAAUUAGCUCCAACUCCAAACAUAAAAUUUGAAGUAGACUCACUGAAUUUGAUUGUGCAACUUGGAAAUCUUUCAUCUCAUAAAAAUUGAGCAAGUUAUGGCCUUGGGAAGUUGACUUUCAAAUUAGGGUUUAGACAAAAUGACCUAUAAUGUUUCAACAUAGAAAAUGAUUUUCAAGAAAAACUAGAUCUAGGUCUCAACAUGAAAGUUGUUUGGAAUGUCAUUUAGAGUAAGUUUCUCUGUUGGAAUAAUUUUCAUAUGGUGAAAUUGUAGGAGAUAGGGUCUAGGGAGACCCAGUUUGAUUAGAUGAAUUCAUCUGGCCAACCACCAUCAACCAACUGCUAAUUUCAAUUCUCUUGACUUUAUUGGCUCAUGAUAUAUUAUAUAUGAAUAAGAUGAUGCAUUUUGAAGUGUCCUGAGUAAAAUUUGAUCAAUUGGUGAGAUAGCUUAUUGGAGAAGUUACUCAAGAUACCCAGUCAAACUAGGGUUUCCAAGGCAAAUCACCCUCAAACUCUUGAAGAAAACUUGAUCAAUAUAACAUGUAGAGAUCAUUGAGACUCAUAUAAGAUAUUCAUAACUAUUAUUGAAUUAAUUCUUGGGGUUGCUCUUUGUUCAUGAGGGUCUCAAACCCUAGAUGUGAACUUGACGAAUAAAUGAGAUCAUGCCCUACCUACAAAAGAGUUAGAUAAAUGCAAAGACAUGUUUUUGGUAUUUUAGUUAGUAAAAUGAUAAUAUACAAGUAUGAUAUAAUCACAAAGUGCUUGGUGAUCUCUCCCAAAACAAACCCAAUGAAGUAGGGGUAAGGAGUAUGCCAAGAUAUGAUCCCAAUGCUAAUGCUUAUGAUGGAAUUGCAUGAGGAAUCUUAGGGUCAAAAUUGGGAUCUUACAAGGAUCACUCGGUAAAAUAACUUUGAUACCCCGAACUUCGAUCUAGUGUUUAGGACUUUGGCCCAAUGAUAGGAUUGAUGCUUGAUAAUGGGAGUAAGAGGGUCGGGUGGAGAAUGUUUUCAUUUGUUUGAUCAUGCAUCAUGUAUAUGAAAGGUUAUAUUAGGACUUCGGUCCAGUCUUGAGGACCACUCAGUAAAAUAAUUCUGAUAUCCAGGAAUUUGGUCCAUUGUUUAGGACUUCGGUCUAGUGUUGUAGGAUGGUACCACAUGUAUGGAAGUAUAGGAAAUAUGAAUUGCAUAAUGACUUUGCAUAUUAUGCAUUUGGGUUGACUGAAUAUGAUUGAUAUGAAUUAUCAUUGUUGUUUAUACACCGCUUAAAUUGUGGAAUGUACUCUCACCCCUUUCUUGUCUCUAUGUUUCCACCUUUGUACUUUAUACGGGUAAUUCUCAGGUUGACACUGAGGAGUGAUAGCCAUGUGUUUUGCAGAGGAUGAUGUAGUUGGCCUUUUUAGUAGUUUUAUUUAUGUUUUAUAAUCGUCGUACCUUUUAUCGAUUUUGUAGUAUUCUAAGUUGUUUUGAAAUAAUUGCUUAUGUUAUGUUUUUGAAUUGAAAUUUCACCUUUUGGAAAUUAAAGUAGAAGUUGUCAAUGUAACACCCUUCUUUUUAUCUUCAUAUUUUCCAUAAUGUUUCAUAAAUGGGGUUUAGGGUGUUACAACGACAGCUGAAAGGAUCAGACCCAUUAUGGAAAGAAAUCACAAUAUCAAACGACUAGAUUUCUACUCAUGGAUACACACCAACUCGAGUGCACUCAAGUACUCUGUGAAUUGCAACAUACCCUAGCUGGUCACGUCACUACACAUGUCAGAAAAUGGUUACGAAGCGUUUCAAUGAUAGAACCUCAUUAAAUGGGAUUGUUUCCCAUUACUUGUUCAAAAAUCGAUCUCAAACGUUUUAAUUUCCAUUUCACAUCACACCACAUCAUGGAGGUCGGUCAAUGAUACUUAAGGCUUUCCUUGGCUCCUUUAGUGUCCGACAAGUCCUUAAGGGUAACUGCUCUGGACCGACCAAAUGCCCAAUCUAUCUCAAAUCCAUUUCAUUUGAUCCAAGGUAUAAAAUCAGUUCAAGCACAAGAGCAAGAUACAAUCUCUGAUAUCCUCUAUCAUUACACUUAUUUUGAAUCUUGAAUUGACUUGGACGUUGGAGUGUUAACCAUGUAGGUCCAUCCCGCACCACCGUAAAAGAGAUCGAGCCACCAUUCAAAAUCAUUAGUUUUCCAACUGCAUUCGUUUAUGAUUCCCGAACGAAACAAUGUCUAAGUUGCAUAUGAGCGAAAAUAUGUUCUUGAUUCGAAAAAACAUCAUGUUCCAUACAAACACAUAAUUCUGUUGUUGCAAGAAUAAUAUCUUGGAAAUGUAACGGAUCACACAAAUAUAUAGACAAAAAAGUAUGUAGCAAAAAGAGGUUAGAUGUAUGUGUUGCUCAUAAUAUCUUAGUUAAAUAAUAUUUUUUGACUAUGAGCAACACAUACAAGACAAGAAUAAUAUCUUAGUUAAUAUUUCCUAUUACAUUUGUCUAUAUAAAAGCCAAACAAACAAAUAAUUUUUAACGAAGAAUUUUUGUUGAAUAUUACAUAAGGUGAAAGAAUUGUUUAUUAAAAUUUUGGAUUGGACUACUUUAAUAUACGUGGCUAAAUUAAUUUAUAAAACACGUAGCUAAAUUAACUUAUAAAAUAGAAAAGAUAUGUUGACACUUAUUUUAACAUAUACGCCGUAUUUUUAUACAUAAAAUUUAUUAGUUUUAUUUUUUAAUAAUUUAUUUUAUUUUGGUUUUUGUGCAAGGUCAUUUGGUUUGUUAUUAUAUACUGCGUAUAGAAAAAGUUCAAAAUAGCACCUGUUUAUAAGAUUAAUAGUUGAUAUUUCAACAUUUGAUAUGGAUAUACAAGUAGUAUUCAUAUUAAUUUUUAAACAAUAAUUAAAUUCAUGUCUUCAAACAUAACACGAUAUAGAUGUUGAAAACUUCAAUAAAGACUAAUCAAAUGUCGCAAUUUAGCUAGACCAGGAACAUGCAGUAAGGUGGAAGUUACUGGUGGAAAAAUAAAGUAAAUAACGGUUGAAUUGAUCGUAAAUAUCAUAAAUACUUUGGUCCUGUUUUGAAUCUAUGUCCUAGUAUUUCUCUAGUCUCUAGCUUGGCUAUUGAUGUGGACUUUCAACAACAUUAGGAAGGGGUCGAAUCAAUUUACAUCGGAAAUGACAUAUAGUUAUAACAAAACGUACUAACAAAAUAAUGUUGACAAUAUAGUUAUAGAUAACAAGUAUACAAUCUAAAUAGAACUAGGAGAGGACAAUGAAUUUUUUAUAGUGGACGAAAGUAUUGGAAACAUUAUCAUAAAUCAAAAUUGCUUAAAGAGUAUCAUAACAUGAGUAAGUCUAACAAUCUAUAUAUUUUUAUAUAAACAACAAGUUUUGAACAUAAAUAAAAAUGUAUGAAUUUUGAAAUAAUUUCAAGUUGUUGAACACACUCUUUCUAACAUGUUAUUUCCUUUCACCGAUGCCUAAACAUGAGAAAUCAGGUUCAAGAUUGAUAUUUUGCGAGAGUUAAAACUCUUCUUAGUGUAUGUUUGAUUUAACUUUUGAAAAAAUCAAAAAUAAUUUUAGAGGUGUAAAAUUAAUUCUUAAGUAAUUUUGAAGUGUUUGGUUUUCUAAAAUAAAAUUGGUUCUGCUUGUACAAUUUAUGCUACUUGAAGUUAGAAUUGUAAAUGAGUUUAAACAUGACGUUGAAAUUUGUUGUUAAGCUCACUUUUACAUAAAUAUAUUCAAAUAUAAAUCAAUUAUAUUAAUAUUGAUGUAGAAUUAACAUCAUAUGAAAAGAGAAAUAUUAUUCAAUGAUAUUAUGAGUAUACAUAAUAUGUUUAUAUAUAUAGUCAGAAUAACAAACUUUCCUAAUUAGUAGGAAAGCUAGUAAAAACUAAUUAUCCUAAAAUAAACUAACUUAGAGAAAUAAAACGAAAAUAAUAAUUAUAAUAUAUUCGUCUUUGAAAAAAUCAACAAUCUUGAUUCAGGUGUGUAUUGGAAAUAGUUUUAUGAUUUCUACUUCAAUCUUUUCACGAGUAACGUGACAAUCAAUUUCAAUGUGCUUCGGUCGCUCAUGAAAGGAAGGAUUAUGCGUCAGGUAAAUUGUAGAAUUGUUUUCACAAUAAACAGAGGUUGGUUGAUUGAAUCAGUGAUUCAACCCUUUAAAUAAAUUAUGUAGCCAUUGUAUUUCACAAGCCAAGCUCGCCAACGCCCGAUAUUCCGCUUCAGAGUUGCUCCUAGAAACCAUGUGUUGCUUCUUUGAUUUCAAUGAGAUGAGAGAGGAUCCAAGAAAAUCGGAUAUCAUGUAAUUGAUUUUCUGGAAAUGGUGCAAGUUGUCCAAUCAGAAUCUGCAAAACCAGAUAAAAGUAAAUUAGUAGUGGUGGAAUAAAAAAUACAUGUUGUUGGGAAAGUUUUUAAAUAUUGUAAAACACGCACAUCAACUUUGAAGUGAAUAACUUAUGGGUUAGAAACAUAUUGGCUAAGUUGCUUAAUAGUAAAGGAUAUUUCAUGUGGAGUAGUCGUUAAAUAUAACAGCCAGUCAAUAAGUCAUUUGUAUUGAAUUUCAUCCUACUAAGGAGAAGAACUUGUACAAUCAAGCUUAAGGGAAUGGUCAUAUGGGGUUUUGGAGGGCUUGGUAGCAAGUUGUCCAGAAUCUUCCAAAAGCUCUAAUGUGUAUUUCCUUUGAUUAAUUAGAAUGCCUUUGAAAGAUCGGGUAACUUCAAUGACAAGAAAAUACUGAAGGUUCCCUAAACCUUUGAUUUCAAAACAGUCAUGAAGGAAAUAUUUGACAAAAGAAAUUUUAGCAAAGUCAUUUCCAGCCAAGACUAUAUCAUCAACAUAAAUAAGCAAGUCAAUAAAAGAUGAGUUAUGAUUUUUAGUGAAUAAAGAAUAAUCAGUAAGAGAAUGUUUAUAACCAAUGAAAAGCAAAGAAUCAAACAGCUUAGCAUACCAUUGUCUACUAGCUUAUUUUAGUCCAUAAAUAGACUUUUGUAGCUUGCAGGCUUUGUUGUUAGCAGAGAGAGAAUUAGAUAAAACAAGACCUUUAGGUAAGGUCAUGUACACUUAUUUGUGUAAAUCUCCAUGCAGAAAAGCGUUAUUUACAUUUAAUUGUUCUAAAAACCAACCUUUAAUGGAAGCUAAAGCAAGAAGAGAUCUUACUGAUGUGAGCUUUACAAUUGGAGAAAAGGUGUCAAAAUAAUCUAUACCUUCAACUUGAAUGUAGCCUUUUGCAACGAGGCGCACUUUGUAAAGUUCUAUAGAGCCAUCUGCAUUGUAUUAAUUGAGUAAAACCAUUUUCAAUCUAUUGACCUUUUGUUAGGUGGUAAAUCAAUGAUGGACCAAGUGUUUGUAGAACUUAAGGCAGCUAAAUCAAUUUUCAUGGCAUUAUUCCAACAUUCGGAUUGAGAAGCUUGUUUGUAGGAUUUUGGUUCAGUGGUAGAGGAAAUUGAGAGGCAAUUUUUUUUAAAAGUAGCAGAGAAAUUAUGAUAGGUUAGGACAAAGGAGAUAGGGUAGGGAGUAUCAUUGGAAAUUGUGUUGGUUAUAGGGUGGUUUUAAAGAAGGUUGCAAUGGUAGUCAUUAAGGUAGCUUGGAGGGCGACUAGUUCGGGUGAAAUGUCUUAAGGAGUUUUCAACAUGAAUAAGGGUUUCAGUUGGAAGAUUUGUGUUACGGGAGGGAGUAUCAUGAUGAGGUUGAGUGAUGAUGGUGUGAGGGGGAAGAGGGGGUAAGGUAUUAAGUAAGGGGGUUUAUUAGGGGUGACGGGUUCAAAAUCCAGUUCAGAUAGAUGAGGAUUAGGUUGAUGAGAGGUGUUUGUGGGAUUAUGAUUGAGAUGAAAAGGAAAGACAGUUUCAUAAAAAAUAGUAUUCCUGAAAACUAAGAAAUUAUGUGAGUGCAAAUCAUAUAAAAAGGUAUCCUUUUCUUCCAUUUAUAAAACCUAGAAAAUGUGUUUUCUUAGCAAAGUGUCAAAUUUAGUCAUUUGAGAAAUAAGUGUGGAAGAAAAAUAUAGACAACCAAAAGUUUUUAAGUGUAACAAAGUAGGUGCUUUGUUAUAUAAAAGUUGGAAAGGAAAGAGCAUGAGCCAUAUUUAGGAUGUGUUGUUGUUUCCUUUUAACUAAACUAUUUUAUUGAGGACAUUUAACACAAGAACGUUAGUUAAGAAUGCCCUUAGAAGUGAAUAAAUCAUGCAUCAGAAAUGCAUUCCCAUUAUUAGUUCUAAGACUUUUUAAAGAAGUGAAAAAUUGAUUAUGAAUGAAGGAAAUAAAUGUGGAAAUAUGUUUUUUGGUUUCAAUUUUAUGUUUCAUUAAAAUAAUCUAAGUAAAAUGACUAAAAUCGUCAACAAGAGUAAAAAAAUAGCUAUGACCAUCAAUGGAGAGGGUAUAGUAAGGCCCCCAAAUGUCAACAUGGACAAGGUCAAAAUAUUUAGAUGAAGUGUUAUUGCUAACAUGGAAAGGCAACCGUUUUUGUUUGGAAAAGUGAAAAAUGUCACAGAGACCAAUUUUAUUAAAGGGGUAAAGGGAAAUUGAGUAGCAAUACAUUUGUGUACAGAAUUAGAGAUAUGUUCUAACCUGUGAUGCCAUAAAUUGGCAUUGUUCUUUAUUGAGGAAAUAUUAGUAGUAAGGGAAGGAAAGAUAUUAUAAGAGAGGUGUGAAGCAUAUAAGACAUAGAGAUCACCCAACCGUUUAGCUAUACCAAUCGGUUUCUGGGACAAAUUCUGCAAAAUUAAGCACUUGUUGGCAUGGAAAUUAAAAAAACAGUCACAAGAAAAGGUUAGUUGAGUUACAAAAAUGAGAUUAACAUUAAACGAAGGAAUAUAAUAAAUAGAAUUGAGGUUAAUAAAGUGUGAAAGGAUGACAGUUCCAUAUAUUGUAGCAUUGGUUGUUUGACCAUUCAACAUUUUCAUAGUGAAAGAAGGAAUGGUUUGAUAGGUUGAGAAAUUGGUUAAGGAAUAAGUUGUAUGGUGUGUGUCGUACCCCAAAAUUUUCCCUCCCCUUUUCAUCUUUACAUUCAAUCUAUGGCUUAAGAUUCAUCUAUACACAUUCAUCCGCAUUCAUGUGCAUCACACAUUCAUUCUCACAAACAUCAUAGAUUCAAAGCUCGUGAAUAACAUAAUUUGGUCUUGCUUGAUCUUGGGGGAUUACGUCUUGAUAUUUCAUGCUUAAACCCUAAUGUGCUUGGAUCUUGUCCUAGAUGAAUCUUUUGAUCCAUAAAAUCCUAAUUGUAGGAGUUCAUCAUGGGUGAUUCAUUUGGUGACCUUGUUUUGGGCUCAAACCCCUAAUGUUAGUGGCAUAUGAUUUGAGUUGGUUCCUUGAGCCUUGACCCUUAUUCACCUAAUCUUUCAGUUUGAUCAUAGAAAUCCUAAUCUCACGGGCCAUUUGGUUUGGACAUACUUGCAAAGCCUUAUAGCUUGAUAUGUGACCUUUGGUCAUAGGGGUUGCCUAGUGAUCUUGGAUUGGGCAUGAAACCCUAAUUGGGGAGGUCCAACCUUUGUGAUUUGCAUCUUGAUAUUUGGAUUUGGUUUGAAACCCUAAGUAUGGAUGCAUGACAUUCGAUGACCAUAUGGUUAUAUUAUAACCCUGAUCAUGCCAUUCAUGUUCAUCUGUGGGACAUGUUUUGUCAAUCAUGCUUGAUGUUUAUUUGGUCCAAGGCCUGAAUGCUUUCAUAUUUUCAUUCAAACUCAUAGCUCAUUGAUUCUUAUUUCAUCAGUACACUCAUAUUUGAUUUGUUCAUAAUGAAUAUCUUGAAUUUAAAUAUGUUUUUUUUGGGAAAAUUCUCAUUCUUUUGAAAAUAAAGCAUGGAUUUAAGAAACAAUUUUUCAUCUAAAAAUUAUCUAUUACACUACAUUCAAAUGACCCAACUCCGUGAAAUUACAAAAAAUGAAGAUUUUGGUAUAGUUGACUUCUUAGUCAAAUGUUGACUUUUAGUCAAAUAUUGACUUUUAAUCAACUGUUGACUUUUAAUCAACUGUUGUCCUUUAGCCAACUGUUGACUUUUAGUCAACUACAUGAUCCUAAAACCCUAAUGAAGCUCUUUUGCUUUCAUAUUCCACCAUGCCUUGAACAUCUUUUCAUGCCAUGUGUGCCAUAACCUCUCCAUGUGCCAUAACUUCCUUCAUGUGCUAGCAAGCCAUCACUCUUGAAUGUCUUGAUAGCACCACUUUAAUGCCUUUAAUUCAUGACCAAAGGCUAAGCAAGAUCAUCAUUACAACAACCUGUAUUCAAUGUUCAAACAUCAUCCAAUCAAGGUCUUUUUUCAUGAAGGGCACAAACAAACUUCAAUAUGGCAUCAUGUAUACAAGUUACCAAUGCAUAAGUACUACAUCCAAGUUUUGUCAACAUUCUAUCAUCAACAAUAAGCAAGUAUCAUAACACACAUUAAUCAAAUCAGUGGCACAUUUUCAUGAAUAACCUGACAAUGAAACAAAGCAUAACAUUCCCACAUUCUUUCAAUUCAAACCAAUAUUCCAAUUCAUUCCCAAUGCAAAAAUAAGGAUAUAGCAGUGCAUUUCAAAAAGGGGGAGGAGUGGUUUUCUGUUGCAACCAUUUAAUUGUCCAUUUCAAAUCUCAACUUAUAACUAAUUUAUAACCAACUGAUUUCAUGACUGGACUAAUUUUAGAUGAAUUUAACAGUUUAACAAUAAUUUCCAUUUGAGACAACUAGCUUAAAUAAUCUCUAACAGAUUCUAUAACUAACAAAUUGCCAUAACUCACCAUUAAUUAUUAGCAGACCAACAUUAACACCAUCGAUUUCUAGCUAAUGGACUACAUAACAAGCCAUUGAUAUAAAUCCUUAAUAGAACAACCAGCAGACCAACAAAUUUCAGAAUAUGUCAUUAGCACGUGAUUUAACAGAAGCCAAUAAUAUCAUUUAACAAAAGACUUCAGUUUCCGACUAACUGAAAAAUAUCAUGUGAGUUUAAUUCUUUUUGAUAACUAACAUAUCCUAACAUAACUAAUAACUUUUAAUUGUCAUUUACCAACUAACUCUAACUAGCAUUAACCGAACCAAUAACCUGAACCAACAUUAAGUUAAUGGAACUUAAAACUAGAGUAUAACUAACCUUGCAAAAUCACAUGCCAGAAGGAGGUCUGAACACUUAGCUUCUAAUCAUAAUUCGGACCUCGCCAAACAGAACAAAUUUUGCAUCCCACCACCUACACGAUUAUGUUUAACAGAGGCUUAAAAUAUAUUGAAAACAGACUAACAUAAAUGAUCUAGAACUAACUUCAUUAUUUCAAAACUAACAUUUUAACAACAUCAUAACAGAAUUUCACAUCAUUAGUUAACUUCUAAUAGAUUUUCAUCGCAACCUAACAGAAAGUUAACCGUGCCCUAACUUGUAACUAAUCCUGCCCGAAAUCUUGCCCUAAUCUGUCACAUUUCCAGCUCUAUAUAAUCCAAUCAUUAUCCCUAAUUAACGGUUAAUCACAAUUCAAUCACUUCUUGACCAUAUUCACUCGUUUAUCUUCUCCAUUCUCUCUAACGGAAACCCUACUCAGAGCUCUAUUGAGAAUCCAUUGGAGCUUCACAUUGAAGCUCCAAAUGUGGUUGAGCCAAACCUCCUCUCUCUGCACUCGCUGGGACAACACGCGACCGAAUCGCUCCAGAAACGAAAGUGCACCAAAGAAGAAGAAGAACACAACACGCGCGCAAGAAGCAACAGUAAGAAGAAAAGAGCGUAUUACUUGAUUAGAAGCAUUCCUUGUUCGUCUUCUUCGAUCCAUCGCAUCAUCGGAGUGAAGCUCCGAUUCGGAGGUAAGCUCGUCUUCCCUUUUCGUUGGGAAAAUCAUUGCCAUAUCGUAGAUUUUGUCCUGAGAAGCGUUAUCCCUAAACCUUGGGACCAAAUUCUUGAGUUAUCACGGUUUAAUUUCAAAUCUGAAAGGUUAGGGUUCAGGUUUUGUGAGUUUCGAUUUGUCCGUUUGAUGAGGAUUUGGAGGAAAUAAGCUUGAGAUUAUAGUAGAGAGAGGUGUGGCGAUCAGAUUGAUGUAGAUUUUGUGGUUAUUGGUCCUCCUCCGUCGCCUGAUGCGAAUGCUUGCGCCAUAGAGAUAUUGGAUUUCGGCCAAGUGGGUUCGAGUGAUGUCACUUUGUGAAUGUUAAUGAUAAUCAAGCUUGAACCCUUCUUGAGUUUGGCCUGGGAUUGAACAAAGGCUUGGGCCUCAGGCCCAUUACCUCUACCUCUCACACCCCUGGAUUCACGUGCACACCCUUCACUGGGUUGGGGUUUGCGAUUUUGGCUUAAGAGUAUGGGCCAUGCACCCAUCUGUCAUCAGACCUUUGUUCUUCUUAACACACCCCCAUUAGAUGGGCCUUCCCCCUCCUUUCUAAGCCUUUUUGUUUGUUUUGUUUAAUCACAUUUAAUGGCUUAAUUAAAUUCUGUUUUUUUGCUUAAUGUAAUUAAUCAUGUUUGCUAGCUAAUAGAAUGAUCAUAAUUUAGGUUAAUCAUUUUUAUUAGUUAAUUUGAUUUAAUUCAUUAAUUAUGAUCAGUAGAUAUAAUUGUUAAUUAAUCAAUUAAAAUCUUUAGAAAUUUUAGGCUUUAGAACUUGGCCUAAUCUUUUUUCAUCAUAUUCUCGUAUUAUUUCUAAUUAACUAACUGGUUAUUUAAUUCUAAAUAAUCUGGAUUUUUGUUCCCAUUUGAUCCAUUUGUACAUAAUGGCUAUUUUAUCCAUAGGUAGAAAAAUCUUGAAUUUUUUGUAUAUAAUUCCCUUAGUCUAGGGUUUUAAUCAGAUUUGUCUGAUUCUUACUUAGUUGAUAAUUCAAUAGGUUUACAUUGUAUUUAAUAAAACUAUUAUUCUAAUCCCAGUGAUUAGUGUUGACCAAAGAUCACUUUGGUCAACCAAAUCCUUUGCAAUAGGGUUGUAAACCCAACCUAUUUCAAGUUAUCAAAAGACCUUUGAUCCCUUGAUAUGGCAAGUUCAUUAUGCUCAAGCUAUUGUGGAAAUGCUGAAUCUCAAAAGCUCAAGGCCUCAAGGUUCAAGUACAAGCUCAAGACUUCAAGUCAACAUCAGUCAAGCAUAGCUAGCAAAAUGGACUACUUCUCAAGCACUGUAAAGGUGUCAAAACUUGACAAGAGCGAUUCAAAUCAUAAGCUAUAAGCCUUAAGUAAUGAGGAAGGAUGAGAUGGAGUUUCUCCUACCGUUGUCUAGAGUGACUUUGUGUACAGGGUAUUGGCCCUAGCUAUUCAAAGCAUUCGCCCUCAUUCAUAGACUUUAGUUCAAUUUGAGUCAUGCAAUUGACAAGUCUUCUGCAAGCAAGUAUCAAGCUUUCAACACUUCAAUAGUGAAGCAUCAUUGCAAAUCAAUCCUCCUUCGGUAUUAGACCCUCCUCCUGGAUGUUCAUACAUUUCUUGGGAUCAUUAUCUUGGGGUCAAAUACCUAUUUCUCAAUCAAUUGCUCCAUGUAUUGCCUAUCAGUUCAGAUUAUG
rnacentral:lncRNA from 1 species